CCGGAGGAUCCUUUUCCCCUGUUAAAAACCAAAUGAUAAUAGCUUAUGCUUAGUCACCCUAUAAAAUCCAAAUCAUACUGCUUUUAUCACAAUUUACACAAAUUAUUGUUAAAAAAAAGGUAAAGAAUAAACAAUACAAAAACUAAAGGACUCUUGAAUGUACCAUUUAAACUUAUGGAGUGAGUUGUGAGCUAGUUACUACUAUUCUCAUUCCCCUCCCUUUUUCCAUGCCUCUGCCCUGUCCCACGGAAAAUGAUCAUCGCCGGAACCUUUUCCUAAGGAUCCUAGAGAUCCAGCAAUCGUGUCCGUUCAACAUACAUCGUGCGGUCAUAAAUCGUUUUAAAUUUUAAAUUUUAAAUUCAAAUAUAAACAGUACCUAACAAAAACUGACCGCACGAUGUACAAUGAACGAACAAGAUUGUAGGAUCCCUAGGAAAAGGAUCCGGCGAGGAUCCUUUUCCCCUCCCACCUACAUUAUCAACAAAUAUAAUGAACUUCACUUUCAUUAUAAAAAACUACAAUUUAAAAACAAAAAUACAACAUAAAACAUAUUAUACUUCUAGUGUAGAUGUGUUAAUAAUCAAAUGAUUUGGCUCUUGAGUGGCUUGAGUUGCUAUUUUUAAAAUGACCUCAAUGCUCAUGGUCAAUCUUUGUGUUAACAAUGUGUUGUGAGGAAGAUCUCCUCAAGUAACAUAUGAAAUCAAUGGAACCGUGACAUCAUUUCUCAAAAGAGUGUCUCGUCCACAAAGUAAAAAGGAAAACGACUUCGCAAGAUGUUAAGAGAGAUGUAAGAAUGAUGCGGAGUGGUGUUUUUGUUUCCUCCAAGCUCGUCGAGCAAUUGUUAGGAAAGGCCGUAAGAAUGUUUGAUAUAGUGGCGCUCGAUCCAUCAUGAUGACAUGCAUCAUCCUUCACAACAUGAUUGUGGAAUAUAAUUGACUAUUUAUUUCAUAGAUGUUUACGUAGAAUUAUAGGAAAACGCCAACAAUUACUGUCUUAUAUGUUAAAGAAAAAUAGAAUAUGUUAUAAAUUAUGAAAAACUCGUUAAUUUUAUGAAUGCAUUAUGAAUUAUUUGAUUUAUUAGAUCUUGAAUUUUAAUGAACGUUUUUUUCAUUUUCAACAAUUCAUGCCUCUGCCCCUUCCCACCUACAUUAUCAAUCAAUUUAAUGAACUUCACUUUCAUUAUCAAAAACUACAAUUUAAAAACAAAAAUACAAUGUAAAACAGAUUAUUCCUCUAGUGUAGAUGUGUUAACAACCGAAUGAUUUGGCUCUUGAGUGGCUUGAGUUGCUAUUUUUAAAAUGACCUCAAUGCCCAUGGUCAAUCUAUGUGUUCAACAAUGUGCUGUGAGGAAGAUCUCCUCAAGUCACAUAUGAAAUCAAUGGAACUGUGACAUCAUUUCUCAAAAUAGUGACACGUUUAUAAAGUAAAAAGGAAAAUGACUUCGCAAGAUGUUAAGAAGGAUGUGGAGUGGUGUUUUUGUUUCCUCCAAGUUCGUUGAGUAAUUGUUAGGAAGGGCUAUAAGAAUGUUUGAUGCAGUGGCGCUCGAUCCAUCACGAUAACAUGCAUCAUCAUUCACAACAUGAUUAUGGAAGAUAAUUGACUAUUUAUUUCAUAGAGGUUUACAAAGAAUUAUGGGAAAACGCCAACGAUUAUUGUCUUAUUUGUUAAAGAAAAAUAUAAUAUGUUAUAAAUUAUGAAAAACUCGUUAAUUUUAUGAAUGCAUUAUGAAUUAUUUGAUUUAUUAGAUCUUGAAUUUUAACGAACAUUUUUCGUUUUCAACAAUUCAUGAAAGAACGAAUUGAGAAAAAAAAAACCUGUGAAUAUAUUGGCAACAAGAAAAUACCUUAUGAUAAUCAAUAUAGGCCCCCACCAUCAAUUAAUGAUGGUGUUCUUCAACUAAUUAUUACACUAGAUGAUGAAAAUGUUAUUAAAUGCAAACCAAUAUUGUAUUAUUUACACCUAAUAAUUGAAAAAAGAAUUGCAAAAAAUCAAAUAAUUGUGCAAUAUUUAUCUUAUGUAACACGGUCAUUAGUGUGUUUGCAGUCGUGUGACUUGACUCAUGAGUGUCAUCAGUUGGUAUUGACUGACUUGUAAAGCCUCAAUUUCCACAAGUUCUUUUUGUGUGGCCUUCAAGUCUACAUUGAUAACAUGUGAAAGGAAAGGUCUUUGCGAAUGACAAAGAUUGUCGAUAUUGACUGACUUGUAAAGCCUCAAUUUCCACAAGUUCUUUUUGUGUGGCCUUCAAGUCUACAUUGAUAACAUGCGAAAGGAAAGGUCUUUGUGAAUGACAAGGAUUGUCUACCCUCCAAUUUCUAGUGCCCUCUCGUGCCCUCCUGUUUUGUGUGAUUAUGGUUAAGUCACGUCAAUAUUUUAUAUAUAUUUUUUUAUAGAGAUAAUAAGACAAAAUUGAAUAGUACUAUAAAAUGUUGACGUAGUUUAACCGUGACCACACAAACAGAAAAGCAUGGGAGGACAUCGAAAGUGAAAGGGCAGACAAUCCUUGUCCCUUUGCGAAACCCAUUUCCUAGCCACUUUCCAGUUCCCAAUCCUUGUCCCUUUGCGAAACCCAUUUCCUAGCCACUUUCCAGUUCCCAAUCCUUGUCCCUUUGCGAAACCCAUUUCCUAGCCACUUUCCAGUUCCCACCAUGAGUUGUGAUGCUCUUCCUCAGGCUCAUUUUCCGUAUUCUUUCUUUUACAGCUGUCAUGCGAAAUGAUAACAACAUGUACGGCUGUCCACUUACCUAUGGGGAUCACUUGGUAUGUUCUCGCCGCCAACUAUAGAGGAACCUGAAUUGUCUGCCCUCUUCUUCUGUCCAAUCAUUUUCCUAUUCUUUUCUAUUUAUGUGGUCACGGUUAAGUCAUGUUAAGACAAAAAAUAAUAAGAAUACAACAUAUUAACGUAAUUUAAUCGUGACCACAAAAAUAAGAAAGAAUGAGAAUAAUAUGGAAUGAAGAGGACAGACAAUCUAGGUCCACUAUGGAGAUCUUUCACACCAUGUUUUAGGUGUCAGCUAACUAUGGCGGUCAUUCACACCCUAAUUUCCAGGUUAGCCAGCUAUGGAGGACCUUCACUCCAUGUUCCAAGUGUCAGCCAUCUAUGGAGGCGCUCCACCCCAUGCUUCAAGCGUCAGCAAACUAUGGGACAAGGCCCUUCACUCCAUAAUUUCAGGUUUUAAGAGUUACGUGUCAACCAUUUGUAGUGUUUGCACUGGCAGAGCCUAUCGUGAAAAAGAUAUAAUCUUAUAUAAUCCGAGAUAGCUUUUGGUGAAAAAGAAAAUUUUACACAUAAUUUUCAUUAAUUUUUUAAUGUAAUCUACCAUAUACGUAGACACUAAGCCUAAUUAUCUUAGUUUAAUUGUAUAAGAUUAUACCUUACAAUUCAUAAGCCAUCUUUUUGUCUUUCUCGGCAUAUUUGACACACCCUGAUCCGAAAUGUUCACUUGAACUUCGAAUUGAGUUGUGUUGGACGACACAUGGAGGGUAACGAAGCCUUAAAGUGUAGUGUAGUGGAAAAAGAAUGUGAAUAAAUUUAAACCUAAAAGUGCCUAGUCAAAAGAAUGUGCGAGUGAGUGGGAUUGAACCCAUUUCACACGUGAUGUCAGAGCAUAAGACAAUAUAGUAAAUAGGAUGAGGGUUAAAGCACUGAAGAUAACCAUCUUCUGAGAUUUAUCAGAAUCCUCGUUUACACAUAAGCACAACUACUAAACCUGGAAGGGCGAAAAACAAAGUUGAGUGGGUCAGCAAAACAACGUUUGUAAGAAAACCUUUAUUUUUGAACAUAGUAACCCAUCGCUGGAAAACAAGUAUAGUUUUCGUAAAACAUACUACGUAAGUAUGUAAACAAAAGUACAACAACAAUAUAACCAGAAAUAUGCCAAAUCAUGAUAUAUCAAAUGCCGCAGUAAUAUAAUCAUGUGAUAAAUAAAUAUAACUAAGUGCUCAUCCAUCUAAGUUGACACACAAGUUCGUAUAGAUAAUCUCUGACACGAACAGGACUGGGUGUAAUCAAUACAUUCUAGUAUUACGAUCACGUGAAGGCUAGUGCCAAAGCACGGUCACAUACGAGUCGAAAUUGCCUAAUGCAAUUUGUGCGAUAAGACUAACACCUAACUUGGAUCCAAGGCGAGCGAACGGUGCAGAUGUGAACAUACACGUGAAGGUUGGCCCUGGCCCUAGGUUGGGUACUAACGUCGGGGUGCAGCAAGAUGAGCAUGUACAAAUAUGUAUAAAUGUCACGAUAGUAAUAUCUCAACCAUAUAGCAGCAUUUAUCACAUUUAAUAUCACAAUAACGAUACUUGGCAAUAUAAGCAUAAUAAUGGAGUAAAUACGCAUUUAUGGAAACUAUAACUAUGUAUAGGUAUAAAAACAAACUGCCCACUCAUAAAUACACAGUAAAUAUGAAGCAUCUGAUCCUUGCUUGACCCCAUGUGCCAUCGGGAUACGUUUCCCCUAUAUGUGAAAUUACUAAUUAACUUAGUUUAAUAACACAUAUACGGAAACUUAAAUAAAACCUCCGUAGAUUACCCAAACAUAAGGUUUGAAUAUACAAAAUCGAUCUACUCGACGUUACAGACCUACACAAAUUGACCGCACGGUAACCUAAGGCCGGACACACCCCCACGUGCCGCCUAGCCCACGGCCACACGUGUGCCCACACGCAGGCCAGUGGCUAACAGAUCCGAGGAAUAUUCUAUCAUUUCUAACAGAAUAUUCCGUUAAACAAUUAACAAAAGUGAAUGACGUUACCUGACGCCGUUAGAAUAUUCCAUCAAAGUUGACGGAAUAUUCCUUGUUUUCUUCGGCGAGUUUCGCCGGUCGUCACCGUCUGGUUUCAUCGAAAUCUGGAAAUUUUAGCUGGUUUCUAGGUAAAAUUUCAAACCUUCAAAUCUUCUUCAUUUUUCAACUAUUUUUCAUAAAAUUAUAUAGAAAUGAAGCUUAUGAAGAAUAGAAUCACGUUAUACCUUUCAAACCUUUCAAAGGUCCAAAAAGUGAACAGAUGUGGCUUGAAAAUGGCUCGAAAGGUACUGCCAAACUGGAACUUCUCGAAACCUCAUGUUUUGUACAUCAACUCUUCACCAAAACUAAUCUAGGAUCUUUAAGAAGUUGAGUAGUAGCUUUCUCGAGUCCUAAAAUGCCGUGACUCGAUCUGAAAAUCGUCGAUCCAGAACUCACCGAGUCAGAGCUUCCGAGUUGGUGAGUCAAACCUCAACCAAAUCUAGAUAUGGUUACACAGUUGUGUUCGUGGGGUUGGGGUUGAGGGGAGUUCAACGAUGUAGGUUACAAGUCACGUUUAGGUGGUUUGGACGUCGGUUGAGAGAGUUGCAGAGAAAAGGUAAGAGAUAGACCUUCGGGAAGAGAGAGAGUAGAGAGAGUAAGGUUUGAGUUGUGAUUGAUGGGACAUAAAUGAGAGCAUUUCUGAUUGGUUGAGUGAGAGAGGGAAAACAAUUGAUUGGGUGGUGAUGAGGGAUUCAAGGAAAAAGCAAAAGUUUGAUUGGUGGAUGAGAUGGGGAACCCGGAUCCCUUUUUUUAGGAAUGGGAUUGGAUUGAUGGAUUUUCAGAUUUUGUACCAUUUCAAAUGUACAAAAUUUGUAUCCUUAACAGUGUUUCUAACACUGAUAUUUUGUACGAACGUGUACAAAAUACCUGUAAUUAACGUACUUUAACGGAACAUAACUUUUUCGUUACAAAUCCGAUUCAAGCCUAACAUGCGUUCACGCGUUCGUAGCGACAAGUACUAAUUUAGUACGAAACCAGGAAAAUGAAACUGAAAACCGAAAACCACAUCCACGUCAUAUUCCAGUUUUUUCCAAAAAGGGUAAAACCGUCAACUCACACCAACGGAAAAGGAAUUACAAUGAAAAGUAGGGACGGGUCGUCACAAAAUUUGUUUCAACUCGUUUAAAUUUUAAUACGUAUUUUUGUUGGUAAACAAAUGGGGCUAAACGUCAAAUAAAGAAAAACUAAAGCAAAGCAUCACAAGGUUUAGAGAUUUCAGCAACAUUAGACAAUAAGAGAUGUCGACAAGAGGCAGGAGCUUAAGUGAAAUACAUUGGACCAAAAGACUACGGCAAACUCAAGUUAGCCAACUCCUCAACCACAAAAUGCAUCUCAUCAUAAACGUGACCAACUUCACAAUUCCAUCUUUGUUUAACAGCUCAAGGCAAGCUUGCACCAACUCACCAAGAGGAUGGUUCUCACUCACACCUUGAAGAACUAAAUGGGCAAUGAGAACAAAAUCAAAUUCCUAUUUUACACGUAUUUGUUUAACAAUGAAAAAUUUUGGCUCACCGUGUGAAAAUUUUAUUAGGCUAGCUGAUAGUGUAAAAAAAUAUUGUAUGUUUCUGCAUUUAUAAAAAUUUAUAUCUUUAAGCUAGCCUACUUGGUGAAGUCUCCGCCCUUAUUCACCGUCAGGUGAUCUUUUUUGUCUAAUAAUGCAUUGUUAUGUGCAAAAUGCAUUGCCAUGUGCAAAGUAUUCUCCACAUGAUAAUGUAUUAUUAAAUCUAAACGUCACAUUAUAAUAAAUCAGUUAUAUGUAAGUUGCUUUCGAAAAUUAUACUAAUGAAGAGAUGAUCGUGCCGCAUACGCUUAGGCAUGUGGCUCUAUUAUUUGCCUAGUACUAGUCAUCAAAUUCCAGUCUAUUAGAAACCGACUUAUUUAUUUGAAAAAAAAAAAACGAAGAAGAAGGGGUUGACUGAUUUUAUUUUUUAUUUAUUUUUUGUUGACAUGCAUACUUUAUGGGGUCAUUUUGAUGGGAAAGGAUGGGAUAGUGAUGGUAGCACCUCUUCCGGGUCAAUGGUAGAGUCCACUUUACUUGGACUUCUUGAAUCGUUCAACAGGAAACGCUUUUUGGGUCAAUGCAUGGGAACGAUCCAUUUUAAAAUUGUUUGUAAAUUUCUAUAAGUAGAUAGUAAUGACCCAAUUAAAUAUUUCCCCUGCACAGAUUUACUUGCAUUGCACCUAGCAAAGAUCAGUUUUUUUGUUUGUCCAUCGAUCCAUAUCAAACAAAUCAAUCAUCAGAACCAUCAUAAAAUAUUUUGUUUUUAGAUUGUUGAAGUAAUAUUAAAAAAUAUAAAAAAAACAUAAGAAUUUUAAUAAUAAUAAUCAUAAAGAAAUUCACAACAUCAAUUAUGUAUGAGAUUAUUAUAAACAACUAAAGAGAAAGUUAGAAAAACUGACAAACUUGAAGAUUGAGGUUUCCAUAAAUACAAUGUCCUAAAGAUAGAAUUUUGCCCCUACUCUUGAUCCGAAGUUGAAGCACUUCAAUAUUUGGAUUCUGGCGAAUUUUAUAUUUUCUAUACUCUCAAGACACGACUCGAAAUUUGACAAACGAAAAAUGAGAGAAAUAAAGUGAGGAAACCCUAUUUCUCAAGAGUAAAAAUUAACUCUAAUUUUAUAUCUUUAAUGAUAAUGGUUUCAUGGGUUUAUACAGAACCCAUUGUAUUGUUUGGCGUAAAAAUGCAACUUUGCAUCUAUACAACCUACACCACUCAUCAAACUACACGUCCCAAAUUACAAAUAAUAUGAUGCAACAAUUAAGAAUAAACAAGAUUAAUUUUUUCAUUCAAUAUUUUGAAAUUAAGUAUUAUAAUAUAAAUUUUCAACAUUGACUUGACUGUUCGUCUAUCAGUAACAAGUCCACAUCUCAACCCAAAUACAAUGAUGUCAAAUGAGAAGGGAAAAUGAGAAGGAAACUCUGGAGGGUAGAGGGAAGGAAAAGGAGAGAGAAAAGGAGGAAAAGAGAAAAGGAGGAGGAAAAAGUAGAAAUAAAGAAAAACUAAAGCAAAGCAUCACAAGGUUUAGAGAUUUCAGCAAUAUUUGACAAUAAGAGAUGUCGACAAAAGGUAGAAGCUUGAGUGAAAUACAUUGGACUAAAAAAAUACGACAAACUCAAGUUCGCCAAUUCCUUAGCCAUAAAAUGCAUCUCAUCAUAAACGUGAUCAAGUUUACAAUUCCAUCUUUGUUUAACAGUUCAAGGCAAGCCUGCACCAACUCACCGAGAGGAUGGUUCUCACUCACACCUUGAAGAACUAUAUGGACAAUGAUCAAAGAACUAAAUGGACAAUGAGAACAAAAUCAAAUUCCAAUUUUACAAGUAUUUGUUUAAUAAUGAAAAUUUUUGGCUCACCAUGUGAAAAUUUUAUUAGGCUAGCUGAUAGUGUAAAAAAAUAUUGUAUGUUUAUGCAUUUAUAAAAAUUUAUAUCUUUAAGCUAGCCUACUCGGUGAAGUCUCCGCCCUUAUUCACCGUCACGCGAUCUUUUUGUCUAAUAAUGCAUUGCCAUGUGCAAAGUAUUUUCCACAUGACAAUGUAUUAUUAAAUUUAAAUGUCACGUUAUAGUAAAUCAGUUAUAUAUAAGUUGUUUUCGAGAAUUAUACUAGUGAAGAGCUGACCGUGCCGCAUACGCUUAGGCAUGUGGCUCUAUUAUUUGCCUUGUACUAGUCAUCAAAUUCCAGUCUAUUAGAAAUCGACUUAUUUAUUUGAAAAAAAAAAUUGAAAAAAAAAAUGAAGAAGAAGGGGUUGACUGAUUUUAUUUUUUAUUUAUUUUUUGUUGACAUGCAUACUUUAUGGGGUCAUUUUGAUGGGAACCUAGGAUGCGAGAGUGAUGGUAGCACCUUUUCCAGGUCAAUGGUAGAGUCCACUUCACUUGGACGUCUUGAAUCAUCCAUCAAUAACAAGUCCACAUCUCAACCCAAAGAGGAAUACGAUUGUCUGCCUUCCCAAUUUUCAUGUCCUCCUGUUUUGUGUAGUCACAGUUAAGUUACGUUAACAUUUUAUAUUAUUUUUUAUAAAGAUAAUAAGACAAAAAUGAAUAGUAAUAUAAAAUGUUGACGUGGUUUAACCGUGACCACACAAACAGGAGAGCAUGGAAGGGCAUGGAAAAAGGGAGGGCAGACAAUCCUUGUCCAAUAUAAUGAUGUCAAAGGAGAGGGGAAAAUGAGAAGGAAACUCUGGAGGGUAGAGGGAAGGAAAAAGGGAUAAGGAUUGUCUGCCUUCCCAUUUUCCAUGCCCUUCCAUGCCCUCCUGUUUUGUAUAGUCACGGUUAAGCCACGUUAACAUUUUAUAUUAUUUUUUUAUAAAGAUAAUUAUACAAAAAUGAAUAGUAAUAUAAAAUGUUGACGUGACUUAACCGUGACCACACAAACAGGAGGGCAUGGAAAAAGGGAGGGCGGACAAUCCUUGUCUAGGAAAAGGAGGGAGAAAAGGAGAAAAAUAGAAGGGAAAGGUAGAAAUAAAGAAAAACUAAAGCAAAGCAUUACAAGGUUUAGAGAUUUCAGCAACAUCUGACAAUAAGAGAUGUCGACAAGAGGUAGGAGCUUGAGUGAAAUACAUUGGACCAAAAGAAUAUGACAAACUCAAGUUAGCCAAUUCCUCAGCCACAAGAUGCAUCUCAUCAUAAACGUGACCAAGUUCACAAUUCCAUCUUUGUUUAACAGCUCAAGGUAAGCCUGCACCAACUCACCAAGAGGAUGGUUCUCACUCACACCUUGAAGAACUAUAUGGACAAUGAUCGAAGAACUAAAUGGACAGUGAGAACAAAAUCAAAUUCCAAUUUUACACGUAUUUGUUUAAUAAUGAAAAAUUUUGGCUCACCAUGUGAAAAUUUUAUUAGGCUAGCUGAUAGUGUAAAAAAAUAUUGUAUGUUUAUGCAUUUAUAAAAAUUUAUAUCUUUAAGCUAGCCUACUCGGUGAAGUCUCUGCCCUUAUUCACUGACACGUGACAUUUUUUGUCUAAUAAUGCAUUGCCAUGUGCAAAGUAUUCUCUACAUGACAAUGUAUUAUUAAAUCAAAACGUCACGUUAUAGUAAAUCAAUUAUAUGUAAGUUGUUCUCAAAAAUUAUACUAGUGAUGAGCUGAUCGUGCCGCAUACGCUUAGGCAUGUGGCUCUAUUAUUUGCCUUGUACUAGUCAUCAAAUUCCAGUCUAUUAGAAAUCGACUUAUUUAUUUGAAAAAAAAAAACGAAGAAGAAGGGGUUGACUGAUUUUAUUUUUUAUUUAUUUUUUAUUGACAUGCGUACUUUAUGGGGUCAUUUUGAUGGGAACCUAGGAUGCCAUAGUGAUGGUAGCACCUUUUCCGGUCAAUGGUAGAGUCCACUUCACUUGGACGUCUUGAAUCGUUCAACAGGAAACGCUUUUUGGGUCAAUGCAUGGGAACGGAAGAGGAUCCUCUCUUGAGCUCGAGAUGGGGAUGUUCUUGAUCACGUAAUCUGGGCCGUUCAAAUUUAAUUCAACGGUUGCAAUUAUUAUAACUUUUAGAGAACCUUCUGUUUGGAGUCGUUUGAUUAAAUUUGAAUAGUCUGAAUUUCGUGAUCAGAGGAUCCCCAUCCUGAGCUUAGGAGAGGAUCCUCUUCCCAUGGGAACUACCCAUUUUAAAAUUGUUUGCAAAUUUUCCUAUAAGUAGAUAGUAAUGACCUAAUUAAAUAGGAUCAGGAUCCUCUCCUGAGCAAAUAGAGAAGAUCCUUCUAACCGAACCCAUCGGGCUGUUCAAACUUUUUCCAACGGCUACAAUUAUUAUAACUUUUAAAGGCCCCCCAUGUUUGUAGCUGUUGGAUAAAAUUUGAACAGCUUUAUGGGCCAUGUCAGGAGGAUCCUCUCCAUUUGCUGAGGAGAGGAUCCUGAUCCAAUUAAAUAUUUCCCAUGUACAGAGAUACUUGCAUUGCACCUAGCAAAGAUCAGUUUUUUUGUUUGUCCAUCGAUCCACAUCAAACAGAUCAAUCAUCAGAACCAUCCAUCCACAUCAAUGGCUCUUAUGAUAAAAUAUUCUAUCUUUAGAUUGUUGAAGCAAUAUUAAAAAAUAUAAAAAUAACACAAGAAUUUCAAUAAUAAUAAUAAUCAUAAAAAAAAAUUCACAACAUCAAUUAUGUAUGAGAUUAUUAUAAACAACUAAAGAGAAAGUUAGAAAAACUGAUAAACUUGAAGAUCGAGGCUUGUAUAAAUACAUUGUCCUAAAGACAAAAUUUUGCCCCUACUCUUAAUCCGAAGUUGAAGCACUUCAAUAUUCAGAUUCUGACGAAUUUUAUAUUUUCUGUACUCUCAAGACACGACUCGAAAUUUGACAAACGAAAAUUGAGAGAAAUAAAGUGAGGAAACCCUAUUUCUCAAGAGUAAAAAUUAACUCUAAUUUGUAUCUUUAAUGAUAAUGGUUUCAUGGGUUUAUAUAGAACCCAUUGUGUUGUUUGGCGUAAAAAUGCAACUUUGCAUCUAUGUAACCUACACCACUCAUCAAACUACACGUCCCAAAUUACAAAUAAUAUGAUGCAAUUCUUUGUAUCAGAUGCAACACUUAAGAAUAAACAAGAUUAAUUUUUUCAUUCAAUAUUUUGAAAUUAAAUAUUAUAAUAUUUAAUAAAUAUUAUAUUAUAAAUUUUCAACAUUGACUUGACUGUUCGUCCAUCAAUAACAAGUCCACAUCUCAACCCAAAUAUAAUGAUGUCAAAGGAGAGGGGAAAAUGAGAAGGAAACUCUGGAGGGUAGAGGGAAGGAAAAGGAGGGAGAAAAGGAUAAAAGGAAGGAGAGAAAAGUAGAAAAGGAAGGAAGAAAAUGAGAGGAAAUGCAUAGAAAUAAAAAAAAUAAAAAAUGAAAAUCACCUUCAUCAUUAUGUCUACUAAUGGAAAAGAGCAAAAUGCUCCCAACUACUCUUGUUUCUUACAUUGUAAAUUAUAUUUCGUAUAAUGAGAAACUAGUAUUCUUACACAAGGAUGUAGACACAACUUGCCGAAUCUUGUUACUAUACAGCAAGCCUAUAACUGCAUAAUAAUUCGAUCAACCACCUUAAGUUUAACCAUACAUGUACCAAGAUUCAAGUUUUUCCAAACUUUCCUUAUGAAACUAAUUGAACAGUACAAGUGCCACAUUAUUAUGCGGUUCUAUCAAGUUUUAAUUUUUAUCUUAUAACCACAUUAUCUUUAGGACAAUCAAUCUUGCAGUUGAAUAUAUAAACCUUCGAGAUGGCGAUAUUGGAAACGCUAGUUGGUGGGUUGAUUGGUAGAAAUGGUUCCAACAAUUCAAGAAUAAGAAAUGAGUAUUGAGCAACGAUCAAAGUAUGUUGUAUUUUAUCACAAAAUAUUUUUGUACAUAUUAGAAGUGCAUUUUAUCACAAAAAGGUGAGCAACGAUCAAUAUAAUUGUAAUUUAUAAAAUCACACAUAAAACGGGAAGUAAUAUUUUAUUUUUGUUUUCAUCUCUGCCAAAGAAACGCUUUUUGGGUCAAUGGAUGGGGACGACCCAUUUUAUAAUUGUUUAUAAAUGGGAAUGACCCAAUUACAUAUUUCCCCUGCUCACAGACAUUUGCAUUGCACCUAGCAAACACCAGUUUUUUUGUUUGAACAUCGAUCCACUUCAAUGGCUCUUGUGAGAACAUCUCCAGGAACCUCCUCUGAUUCCAACACAUUUCGGCGUUAUCACUACGAUGUGUUCUUGAGCUUCAGAGGCGAAGAAACUCGUAAGACUUUUACGGACCACCUCUACACAGCCUUGAACAAUGCAGGAUUUCUCACGUUUCGAGACGACGAUGAACUCGAGAGAGGAGAAGACAUAAAGCCAGGACUGCAGAAAGCAAUCCAGCUGUCACGAACUUCUGUUGUCGUGUUUUCGAAAGAUUACGCGUCAUCCAGGUGGUGUCUUGAUGAGCUUAUGCUGAUCCUCGAACGAAAUAGGACCACCUCGGACUAUGUAGUUUUACCAGUCUUCUACGAUGUUGAUCCGUCCCACGUGAGGAAGCAGACAGGAAAUGUUGGAAAAGCAUUUGCUAGAAGCCAGAAAAAUCAGUCGCCGGAAAAGGUGGAAGGAUGGAGGAAGGCACUUGCAGAGAUUGCAGACCUAGCAGGCAUGGUCCUACAAAAUCAAGCUAACGGGUAACUUUCAUUUUCUUAUUUUGUCUUCUAUUUGUUGUUGUUGACCUCUCUAAUAAGAUCACAACUAGAGAUGGACAAAAUACCCACGGUUACCCGUGUUGUGCUUUGGCCCGUUCGUCAGUGCAGAAGUGAGAUUCAGAUUAUCUCACUAAACUACAGACCCACAGUUGAACAAUUUAAAUUACAAGAAAUAAAGACACUGAGAAAUUUACGAGAUUCGGCAAAAACCUGCCUAUGUCCUCGGAGAUAUAUUGCUCUUCACUAUGAGAAUAACUAGUACAAGAUACACUUGAGUUCAAUCAACAUAACCCAAACCCCAAUCCCUUGUACACUCACAGAAUUUUCCCAAGAGCCUCACUCUACCCCAAGAGUUUCUCACUCUCACUCUUUAUUUUCUCUCCUUUGUGUUCUCCUUCGGAUGCUCUCUCAAUGCAUUACUAAAUGCACAAAUAUUGCAUCUAGUUAUAGUCAUACACUAGCAACUAUGCCAACAAACAAGACCAAAAAGUCUUAAGUUCACAUGACAUAAUUAUCACCUAGCCUACCUAGCAUACACCAAAGUCUAUAUCUAGUCUAUAAAGUACAACUAUUCUCCAUUUGUCAUUUAAUGCAUAUAAAAUAAAACAUGCACAAUUGUGUGCAAGCAACCACAAAGUCAAGUCUUGCUUCCAACUUUGCUUUUGGUAGUCACCAUGUCUUCUCUUGAAACAAGACAUCCAUGCCACAACCGAAAGCCAAACACAAAGUGGCUACUGCCAUUUCCCUGUAGCACUCAGAAAGUUACACUAUCAAAAUUGUUGCCAACUCAUAAGUAUAUGAGCCAAACACAACAACCCGCCCAUUUAAACUUCACGGUUACUGUUAUGGGUAACCGUUUAGAUAAAUAAACGGUUAUGGAUAUAACCGUUUACCCGUAAAAUUUAAAUAGAUGGUUAUGAAUAUUAAUCGCGGUUAUAAAUGGGUAACCAUUUACCCAUUUAUUUUAUAUAUGUAAUGUUGAAUAUUUUAAAAAUAAAAUUUUAUAUGUAUAUGCGGCUAUUUGACAGUAGAUGGGAAGUUAUGUUAUUAACCCAACAAUCACAUCUCUUCAAUUUGAAUGUUGCAUCUUUUGAAUGUUGCCGAUAAGACAUGAUUCAUGGUCAACAAGUGUAAUCCUUCUCCUAACCAUGUUCUCUGUCGGACAAAACUUAAAUCAAUGCUAAUAUAAUGUGGCUCAUUAUAUAUAUUAUGUUAAUACUUUACAUUAUGGGUUAAAUAACCCAAGAAUACUAUCUUCUAAACAGUUUUCGUAACCCAAGAAUACUUAGCAAAUAUUAUAUUACUUUCAUUGGUAACAGUUAAAAAUAUCGUCCGUAAACUAUUAUUUCAAUUUUGAAAUGCUAUAAGGACUUAAAAAAUUAAAAUACGGAAAUGUAUGAAGAAUGUUACCUAUAACGGUGUUUAAUUGUCAAAAAAAAGAAAAUUAUGACAAUUUUUUUUUUAAUUUUCAAGUUGUUAAAAAACAUGUAGAUGGGUGAAAAUGGGUAAUGGCAAAAAAAAAAAGAGAAGAUAAACGGGUUAAAAGGGUAAAUGGGUAAACGGGUAUUAAACGGUUACAGUUAAAUAGGUAUGCGGUUAUGGGUAUGAGUAUAACCGUUUAGGCAAUUACCCAACGGAUAAACGGUUAUGCGGGUAUGAGCAUAAACGGUUAUGGGUAAAUAACCGUGGUUACCCGCCCAUCAUAACCGUUGCCGAUCACAACCAUGGAAGAAAAUAUCGAUAAUAUCGGCGAUAUAUCGCCGAUAUUAUCGGCUUUUUCCCGAACUGAUAUUUUAAAUGGUAUCCAAGGUGUUUUCGUCAUAAUAUCGCGAUAAUAUCGAUAAUAUCGCGAUAUUAUCGAUAUUAUCGCGAAAUUUCGGAACUGUGCACGUCGGAGACAAACGUCGGAGCUUCUACAGCUCCGGCCGACUGUAAAACUGCUCCCUAGCCUCGCCGGAGAUGGGUGUACUUAUUCCUGAGUCGAUUUCAUCCCAAAAACCUUGCAAAAACACGACAUAUAACUUCAAUUUCACAUCUAAGCUUCGAUCUAGAAUAUAAAAAGAAAAACCCGAAGCUUACCUACCUGAGAAAUUGAAGGAACUCGCCAGAGCAGGUGCGAUGGUGUGCGUGUGGGUCUCGGUGCAGAGAGAAGAGAGAUCUUUGUGUGAGUGUGUGUGGUUGGACUGGGAGAAGGGAGAAGAGAGAUCGAGAGAUCUCUGUGUGAGUGUGUGUGUGGUUGGACUGGGAGAAGGGAGAAGAGAGAUCGAGAAGGAUCUCUGUGUGAGUGUGUGAGUGGUUGGACUGGGCGAAGGGAGAAGAGAGAUCGAGAAGGAUCUGUGUGUCGUUGAAGAAUCCCCAACCUUUAAGAGACAAACCAGCAAGCACCUCCCUCGACCCACCUCGUUCCUCCGCCGCAAACCUACCCCGUGUCCUCAUCUAACUUCUCUCCUCUGUCAACCCACCGCCGUUCCACUAUCAACUUCACCGGUAUUCCUCCGUCGGCCCCGCUUCCGCUCCCGCUUCCGCCUCGUCCUUCAACCUCUCUCCUCCAUCGAAGUAGGUCCAUAAGAAUUCAUGAAAGGGAGGGGAUCUUUGUUCUUGGUGUAUAGUGUGACGACGCUGCACUGAUACAAAUCUGUGAUGGCAUAGGAAAAGACAAGGACGAUGCAGGAUGGAGCAGAGAGGAAGUGAAAAUGGAUUAUGGGGUGUUUGGAUGCCUAGGUAAUUGGAUAAACAGGGUGUUUGGCUGCAUAGCUUAAACAUAUAAAGUAGUACACAUGUUCUCUUUUAGUUGAGCCAUAUCAAUGGUCAAUGAAAAUUGGGUACCCACUUGUGAGUACCAAGUAUUAUCCGUGGACGGGAGACUUAAACAAACAAAACCAUUGGCUUUGAUGUUUGUAACUUGUAAUUAUGAGGUGGACAGGUAACGUGAAAGAGGUGAGGUGCACCUCUGAUGGUUUUAACUUUUAAUAAAUGUUAUAUAAAUUAUAAAUUAUAAAUUAUUUAGAUAAUAUUUUGUUUUUUUUACUAAGCAAGCAGAUUAUAUUCGAACCCUCCCUUUGUCAACCACGCACUUAGGCUUUAUCCAACUCGCUACAGAUGUGUUUGUGAUUACAUAUUCAGCCUGUAAUAUUUAUAUGGUCGUUAAGAUGUCUGCAAGGCUUGCAAGCUAAUAUUUAUUAUCUAGGAUAAAUUUCUAUAUUUUAAAAAACACAAAGGUGAAAAUUUUGAACCUCAUAGGAACUCUAUGUGGUACUAAGUCACUCAUGUAUCUUACCAUGCAAUGUAUAAAGUGUAAAAUAUUGUACUAAUUCAUUAUAUAUAAAUGAUUAUGGUGUGUUUAGACUUCUUUCAUUAAUUACUACAUAUUUUAUACACUCACAAUGUUUGUCAGCUCACUAUAUAAUCAACUUGAUAAUGUUAAAUCCAUCAUGCAAUGCAUUUCCUUCCAAUUUUUUGUGAUAAACUAAUAGAUAAUUGAUUAAAUAAACAUCCUGCAAAGUUUCAAUAAAAAUUUCCAAGUUUUUCUUACAAUUUCCUUGGUUUCCAUGUAAUUUUUAUCGAUAUCGAUAUUAUCCCGAUAUUUCCAUCGAUAUUUCCGUGUUUUCGGACUACCGAUAUUUCCGAUAUUACCAAUAUUUUCUUCCUUGAUCACAACAUAUUGAUUUACUCAACACAAAUGUUCAUAUGACUUCAGGUAAAUUGCUCCAGUAAUAAUCCCAUUUCAGGUCAAUUAAGUUGUCAUGAUCUGUACCAUGUAGCUGCAUGGAAUAGCUGUUAAGAAUUAUUGAUCGAACCUUAGUUUAAUUUUCUCCUCUGAAUUCCAUGAAUAUCAGACUUUGUAUAAUUGAUUGAUAUCGAGUGAACAACAUGUUUGAUUCAUCAUUCAUUUUAUUUGCAAAUUCUUAGGUACGAGUCAAAGUUUAUCAAAGAUAUUGUUAAAGUGAUUAGUGAUAAGCUAAGUCGCACACACUUGAGCGUUGAAUCAAAACUGGUUGGCAUCCAUUCUCGAGUCGAACCCAUCAAUUUAUGGUUACAAGAUCCAUCACAUGAUGUUGGUAUACUUGUUGUUUAUGGGCUGCCUGGAAUAGGGAAGACAACCAUUGCAAAAUGUGUUUACAAUUCAAACUUUGAAAGUUUUGAAGGAAGCAGCUAUGUUGAAAGUAUCAGAGAAACUGCAAGUCAUCCAGACGGCUUAGUUCAAAUACAAAAGCAAAUUCUUUAUGAUAUUUUAAAUGGGAAAAAGGAGAAAAUACACAAUGUUAGUGAGGGAAUAAUUAAGAUUGGAAGAGCCAUAAGCUUUAGAAGAGUUCUUCUUGUUCUUGAUGAUGUGGACCAUGUGGACCAAUUAGAUGCAGUACUGAGGAUGAAAGAUCAGUUUCAUCCUGGAAGUAAAAUAAUCAUAACAACUAGGCGUGAAAGGUUGAUAAAGGCACAUGAAGGUAUUACGGUGCAUGAAGUUGGACCUUUGGGUUUCGAUGCAUCAUUGGAGCUCUUAAGCUGGCAUGCUUUUGGCCAGGAUCAUCCCCUUGAAGGUUAUGAGAAAUAUUCUGAAGAAGUCGCACAACACAGCGGAAGACUUCCAUUAGCACUCAAAGUUUUGGGUUCUUCUCUUUUCGGGGAACCUAAGCGUGUAUGGAAAUGUACAUUGGAGAAGCUAGAGGUUAUUCCAAAUGGUGAAAUCAUGAAUAAUUAAGAAUAAUCUACGACUCUUUACAAGAUGACCAUGACCAGAAAUUAUUCCUCCAUAUUGCUUGUUUCUUUAUUGGAAAGGAUGAAGAUUACAUUGUCAGAAUACUAGAUGGAUGUGAUUUCAAGACAAUCUGUGGCAUUCAAAAUCUCAGAGAUAGGUGCUUGGUGACAAUUGUUAUGGACAAGUUGUAUAUGCAUGAUGUGAUUCGUGACAUGGGACGAGAAAUUGUUCGUCGAGAAUCACAUGAACCUGGGAAUCGUAGUAGAUUGUGGCGCUCUAAGGAUUCUUUCAAAGUAUUGAGAGAAAAAAAUGUAAGAAAUGUUCAUUGUAUGUGUGUGUUUCUUUUUCUCUUGUGCUAAUUAACCAAUUGUUUUUCCAAUUUCUUGUAUAGGGUACGCAAGCAAUUGAAGGUCUUAUGUUGGACAUACAUGAACUGCUUACAGACAGUCCCAUAAACUCAAACGAGAAUGUCUUGGAAACCAAUUCAUUUGCAAGGAUGCACAAACUCAAACUGCUCUAUCUUAGACAUGUACGACUGGACGGAUGCUAUGCAGAACUUCCGACAAGGUUAAGAUGGUUGUGCUGGCCCGAAUUUCCUUUGGAUUCAAUUCCUGUUGAUUUUUCUUUGGAGAAAUUGGUAGUUCUUGAAAUGCAAUAUGGCAACUUGAGACAACUCUGCAAAAGAGCAAACGUAUGUUACUCAACGCUUUUCAAUUUUGUUUUCCUUCUUUCUUUAGGUUUUAAUUCUUUAAUUAAUUUUAUAUGUUGGAAUCAAUUCCUAGUUAUUUUUGUUUGUUUGUUUAUUUUUAUUUGUUUCUAGUUUCUUCCAUCAUUGAAGACCCUUGAUGUCAGCCAUUCUCAUGGCCUUAGUGAAACCAUGGACUUCUCACCUUGCCCCAAUCUAGAGGAAUUGAUUCUUGUGGAUUGCACCAGCCUGAUUGAUGUUCAUGAAUCCAUUGGAAACCUGGAGAGACUCGUGUACUUGAAUAUGAAGGAUUGCAAGAAUCUUAGGAUGCUUCCGAAGAACAUGUGUUUUCUUAAAUCACUUGAAACACUCAUUUUAUCUGGCUGCUCAAAUCUUGAUGAGUUUCCAGUGGAGAUGAAGAAGAAGAUGGAGUCUCUGAAAGUUCUUAAAAUGGAUGGAAUUCCAAUAAGAGAAUUAUGGCCAGCAAGAAGUUCAAGUAUCUUGAGUUCUUUUCCAUGCUCUUUAGUAAAGUUAUGUAUGGUGGGGUGCAAUCUUUCUGAUGAUGCCUUCUGUAGGGAUUUAAGUAGUCUAUCCUCGUUGCGAACACUAAAGUUAGGUGAGAAUCCAAUUUGCUGUCUGCCAGGUUUCAUCAAAGGUUUGAGAAGGCUCGAUCAUCUAUCUUUCCAGGAUUGUAGUAGGCUCAAAUCGCUUGUGGGGUUGCCGAAAGUACACCGAAGGAUAAGUAUAGCCGGAUGCAUAUCAUUAGAAAAAAUGACUUUUCAUUCCCCUGAGCAACAGUCUACAAUGUUCAGCGUGGGUGACAACUGGAAUCUAGUUGAGUGGCAGUACGACUACAAGUUAUAUGUGGAAAUGAUCAAACUUUUGGGCGUGUGCAACUUGGGAUCCUUGCCAGCCAUUAGAAUGAACGCACUGUUCGGAUGCGGUGGUUCAAAAGAGGGUAAAUGGAGUCCCGUCCAGGUGCCUCUCUCUCUCUCUCUCUCUCUCUCUCUCUCUCUCUCUCUCUCUCUCUCUCUCUCUCUCUCUCUCUCUCUCUCUCUCUUAUAAGUCAUUAAUAUAUCAUGGGAAAGAAAUAACUGAGUAAUGUUGUGAUGAUCGUGGCAAUUACAUAGGGACUGUAUGAAAAUGGUAUAUUCAGCACGUUUUUUGUUGGGAAUAAGGUUCCAGGCCAAUUCAGCUAUAAAAGUACCAAGUCUUCGAUAUCUUUUAUUGUCCCUUUACUACUUGCUAAUCACAGAAUUCGAGGCUUGAACAUCUUUGCUACUUAUGCAAAGGAGCAGAAUUAUAAUAAUUCUUUUAAUCCAAUAAUGACUAAAGUGAGUAACAAGAGUAAGGGUCUGAAGUGGAUCUAUGGCCCAGAGUUCUAUGGAAUUCCAGGAGAGGGAGAACAUAUGAUAUGGUUGAGCCAUUGGAAGAUGGAUAAUGAAACAAUAUUACAAUGUGGAGAUGAAGUGCUUGUUUCAGUACACAUGAGACCUAGUCAGUUUCAGCUCAAGGAGUUUGGUGUCGAGCUUGUGCAAGAGCACCAAGACAAGAUGAGUACCCAACACAACACCAAAUCAGGUCCUAAUUAUCCAUUUGUUAUCGGUGGAGAUUUGGAUACGUGGAAGUGCAGACCGGGAAUAUACUUCCUUGGCAGUAGGACAAGAGAAGAUACUGACGACAUUGAUAUCCUCACCAUGGACUGUGAUGAAGAAGACACAAGUAUGUUGUGUUGUUGUAUUGCAUUGAAUUAUACUUCAUCCAAACACUUCCAAGUGUGUCCGUAUUCAUUUCAAAAACAUUUCCAAUAAGUUUUAUGUUAUUUGUAUGUUUUUCAGCCAAAGAAGGGCAAGAGAAUGAACCUGAUUACACAAUUGCAAAGACGAGGGUUGCUAGCAAAAACUGCAGUCUCGAACGCUGGAAGGUGCUCCUCACAACUGCUGGCUUCUUUUUCACGCUUGCUCUAGUAGUUCAGUCCUCCAUCUCCCAGAAACUGAAGCGACAGUAGUCCACAAGGCUUCCAUGAGUUUAUAAUUUGACUUGAUAUAGAUAUAUCUUUACAUUCCUUACUCGCAAGAUGUUUUCUACCUUCAAGUGCAAUGACGGUUCUAGAAUUCAUACAGCCGACCCCAUUUAGUAAAAUAAGACUUUAUUGUUAUUAAACUGUUUGUGCGGUAAGAACUAAGCGUGAAAAAUAUCUUGUUUUGUAGUCUCUGGUUUGAACAUUAAAGAAAAUCCAAUGCCAUUAUGUGUUUAAACCAAAAUUUUCCGUUCUCUUUUUCCUUUUCUUCAAAAAAUAAAUUUGUACUCUAAUGUCUAGGCAUGAAGAGAUUCUUAGCUAUCUCCGGGUAUAUGUCCCUCUAUUUAUUUCUCAUGGAAUACACAACCGGUUACAAGACAGAUUCUCGAAUCUCUCUCACCAUGCAUGAAAGUUCACGUCGAAUUACCAAAUCAUAUUCUGAGAGAGAAUUAAGAAUUACAUGCAGAUUAACAUUAAAUUAUAAGUUUCUAAUAACACAAAUUAUUAUUUAUACAAAAAAAAUUUACAAGAUGUGUUCAUAAUUAAUUGGUAAUUCUGAUCUUAAUUAACUAAAAGGGCCUUGAGGACAUGUCUCAAUGUAUAUGCUUGUCUGUGCAGAUCGUCUUCCUCCUCCUUUUCUUCAUCCACAAGAAAUCAAAGACAUGCCCACAAAAACCCACACACGAAAAACAAAAAAUUAAUAAAAAUAAAAGUCAGCGAGAAAAGUCAAACAAUGCAGAUCUGAUCCUACCCGCGCCACACCCGAUCAAAUCCCGAGAAAAUCAGUGGCGGACCGAGACAUGAUGGUCGCGAAUUCGUUGAAGCUAAUGACGCCGUCGCCGUUCGUGUCGGCCUCCCUCAUCAUAUCGGAGAGCUCCCGGUACGUCAAGGGGUGGCCCAUUUUGGCCAUGGAUCCGGCGAGCUCGGCGGCUGUGAUGUAGCCGUUGCCGUCGCGGUCGAACGACCGGAAGACCUCCAUGAGCUGCUCCUGGUUGAUCAAAAUCUCCUCGUUCAUGUCUGGGAGGAUGGCGGUGACGAGCUCGUCGAACUCGAUGGCACCGUUGCCGUUGGCGUCGAUGUUGGAGAGGAAAACGUGGAGCUGGUCGCCGGUGGGCUUGAGGCCGAGGGAGCGGAGGAGGGCGGCGAGUUCGAGCUGGGUGAGGCUGCCGUCGGAGUCCAUGUCGAAUCGCAUGAAGAUGUCCUUCAGCUGCUUCAGUUGAUCGGAUCCGAGCGCGGCCAUCAUUAGUAUAACGGCGGCCGAGAAGAAGAAGAAGAAGAAGAAGAAGAAGGAAGGGAUCGAGAGAUCCAGACGAUUUGAAUUUUGUGAGAUUUUGGGAGUUUAAUUUCGGGUGGAUUGGGUUUUUUGUGUGUGGCGCUGAUUGGUUUGUGUUUUUGGGUUUUUUUUCGUUUUCGUUUUUGUUUUUUGAGUUUUAAUUUUUCUUGUGUUUGGAUUAAAAGUUUAAAAACUGAAAACGCGUUUUUGCCAAGAGUUGAUCAAUUGCUACGUGGUUAUAUAUUGGGGGGGAUGCUACUUAGGGGCUGUUUGUUGAUUGACUAUAUUCAGGAGAAAUUUUCAAGUGUGUCAAGAAUAUUUUCGGUACAUUAAGUGCCAUAAUACCGUUGAUUGGAAACUUGAAAAAAAAUAUUCUUACCAAUUAUAUCAUGACACUUGAUAUAUCAGUCCGUAUUCCGGCACAAUGAAAAAUCUCUCCAUAUUUAUGACUUAAAUAUGUGUUUUUCUAUUUUGGGAAUAAUGUGUUGAUUUGGGUCUAUUUAAGUUUUGAAGUAAAUUCAACGCGCUGACAUUUGUGAGUUAAGUCAGUUGGUCAAAGUGAUGCAUUUGCUUCUAUGCACUCAAGUUUGAUCUCAAUUCCCAUAGAAGUUAAACUUAUUCUAACGCGUUUAGUCCAAUGUCAACUAAAAUAAACUUUCGAUUAUGCCGGAUUAAUUAAUUGAUUAAUUAACAACUUUUGUUUUAUUUUUAUCAAGAACAUGGCCUAGCUGUGAUGAGUGUUCAAUCAUUUUUAUUUCUUCUUUAAAAAAUGGGAUCAGCAGGUGGCUUUAUCACGAUAAUCUACUUUUUAGAGGCCGAAAAGAUUUUUAGAGUCAUUUCAGGCUCCUCUAGUUACCAUCGUGUGAUUGGAGCUAACAUAAUUAGGUGAAGAACAUUCGAGAUUCAAUGUGUAGAAUCUAUGUGAAAGUGGCAUUUUCUUAGAAUAUGCAGAGAGCUUCAAUGACAACAUAUUUACAAAGUUGACAUAGUUUGGUUGUGUAGACGCGUGACAAUAAAGACUUAUUUGACAUUUAUAAGCAUGAUGUCAUUAUAUUCGAGAUGUAUGAUAAGGUUUAAGAAUCCAAGCCUUUGAUAUAUACCAAGGGAUGCCAUAUAUAUGCAUAACCUUCUUCAACAUUUGUUCCAUUUGAAUUGCGUACAUUUUCAUCAUAAAACGAAAUGAAUGUGCCACAAUAUUUUGAUCAAUGGCUACUAAAACCCAUUUCGAUUAUACCUGUCACUCUACAUUUAUUGUCACGCGACUAAUUAUGUGACAAGAGAUGUCACGUGACUGGAAAUGCAGAGAAAUGAGGAACAUACGAAACAUGUUGCAGGUAAGUUUUUUCGCGAUUGAAUAGCUACCUAGCUUUAUGAUCAAUAGAUGACAGAGCCACCAUUUCAAUCAAGUGAUAUUGUACAAAACUAGUAUCAAAUGGAUCAUGAUUUGGUGAAUGAUGAGUUGGGGAGCAACCCAAUUCUCCCCUACCCCAAAAGCUUCCAAAUCCAAACUCUCCUCUCUGAGAAAACUCCUGCAGCACCUCCUCCACCUCCUCCAUGCAGCGCCUGCAACUAUGUCCUCCUCCUGCCUCCAUGGAUGAUCUCAUGGACUCUCCGACAACACUCGCAAAGUCAACGUCUUUACAUGUAUCCAACACUAUAAUCUCUUUUCUCCUUCUCUGUUGAAGCUUCUUCAUGGUGUACUCUCUCGUCUUUCGGAUCAACUUGCAAGGGAGCUUGUACAAGAUGAAGAUGGUGAUUUGGAGGAUCAAGCACUGGCAGCAGCACGAAAUCACAACGCAGUCUGCGGCAAUCAUGUUGCAGUCUUCCAUGGCUGCGAAAAUCGGGAGGAAAUGGGUGGUGGUGGUGUAGAAAACAGUUUAAAGAAAUCUUCAUGCCCCGGUGGUGGUGGUGUUUAAGGAAUAAGUUCCUUGCCUUUGUGGGAGGUAAUAGGAAGGGUGAAGCAAUUGGAAUGAUAUGUGGCGCUGUAUAUGAGUCAUGACUUCAAUCAUUGUCUAACAUUAAAAAAAAAAAAAAAAAAAACUCUAGCUUCCAAUAGGGGCUAUCCAAUAUAAUCGAAUUUCUUUUUUCAAACGAUAUUCUAAUUUAAUCUAAAAUACGGGAAACAAGCUCAUUCCGUUCUGCAAUAUAUUAAAAUAUUAGGAUGUGAAAGGGAAACAUAAAAGCUGUUGUUGCUUGGCUUCUACUUCUCCUUGGUGGAAGAUUUCUUUGAUAGCUUUAAGCAUUUCCAUAGAAGGUGUCACGGAGCUGUCUUUCAAAGAAAGUUCUCUCCCCCCUCUUGGAAGACUUGCAAAUUUAUAUAUCUGCAAACCCAGUUUACCCCAAAUAUUUUAGCACGUGACGAGUGAGACACUUGUAAGAAUAUAUCCCGGGGUAUACUCAAGAUUUCCGUGUUUCUGAGGAUGAUGGGGCGGCCUGCAGGCUGAUUUAACAAGCUCGAAAUAGAGGGGUACGUAUUUUCGAUCUGAGAUUGUCACAUAUAAAUCACAAAACAUGGAGUUGUGAAAGAGGGGAAGCAAAAGAGGGAAGAAUAGGAUCCAUGGUUAACAAAAUUGAAUUAUUACCUUUAUAACACCACCAAAAAUAUUGGUGGAUGCAACAAGAUCAUCAUACAUAGGCUAAGUAAUUACAGGGGCAAAAAAUGGCGGUCCAUAAACGUAUAAUAUAGGCGGAAGCUAAAAAUGGACCUUCACAGGAACGAUGGAACGAUCUAUACAUCCGCUGCAGUCAGUUCCAGUUGCAGAAAGAUCAGGUCCCAGCUGAGCCAAUCCAAAUCUAGCUCAAUCUGGCAAAACCCCUUUCAGCUAAGUGUUUAACUCUCCGAAUGUGUACUAUACCUCUUCGCUGAAAAAAUCUGUACUGUAAUUUUGACUACCAAAUGCCAUUCUCCGGAACAACCUAAUUUCAGCUGAUUGUUGUGCCGAGUCAAAUGCCUCACUUUCCCCCACUCUCAUUCCGUUGUUUAUAUCGGAAGCAACAAAACUAUCAAAAGCUCUAACAACCUGAGGAGAGUGAGAAUGAUGAUGUUAGCUUAAGCUGGUGAAGUGAAUGAAUUCACAUUAUAAAAAAAUUUCAGCUUCUUAUUACCUGUCCCAUUCGUGGUCUCUUAGCAGAUGAAUGUCGCACACAAGCAGCAGCAAUCUCGAUCAUUCUGAACAUUUCAGUAUCCACAUAAUUCUUUUCGAGCCUUGGAUCUACCACGCCGUCAAAAUCUUCAUUAUCAAGAGCAUAACUCAACAACGGCCGAGCCUGGAUGGUAAAAUGCGUCUCUUGUCAGGAAAGCUUGGGUUUGACCUUAGAACAUUCAGUUGGUUAACUAUACAGUUUUAUUUCAUUCAAUAAACAUAUUGUCAAUUUGUUACAUAUAUGUCUCCUAUGUACAGUCUCACAUCUUUAUUAUGCAUUUAUCUACGUACUUUUGAAAAAAUUGAAAUGAAUUCACAACUAAGGCGAGACUAAAUUGUGCCCGCUGAAUCCAGACAAAUAUUGACAGCAUAAUCAGAGAGUGAAAAAGAUUUCAUGCAUUGAGAUUUCUUUCUGUAAGACGGUUCUGGAGUUUCAAUGCAUUCCUUGUUUAAAAACUAUAGGGCCAGAAGAUCUCACUCAAUAAAUUGGGGACUUCAAAAUAUUCAACCGAAAAUAUCAAAACAUUAUUAUCGAAUUGAAGCAAAGUAAUAUAAACGCUGCAGCAUGAUAUGUCCAGUAUGAAAAGAGGAUGUAAGUUUACCCAUUCAACUAGACUCUCAUCUCCCAAGGGUUGGGAUGUAUCUACAGGCUUCCGUCCAGUGAUCAACUCAAGAAGCACAACUCCAUAAGAGUAAACAUCAGACUUCUCAGUCAAUUUCCCACUUGAUGCAUAUUCAGGAGCCACGUAUCUGAAAAUCAAGCGGAAUCAAUACAUUAUCAGGCAUGAAAGGUAUGUUUGUGAUGACAGUAUAAAUUAAAAUAUAGAAGAAACCUCAAGAAUAGCUUUGAUACAAGUAGAAAGCAUAUGGGCCAACACUAGAUUGCUGACGUACCCAAACGUUCCCAUCACACGUGUGCUUAUAUGCGUAUUUGCAUCAAGCGCUAAUUUGGCAAGUCCAAAAUCUGAAACCUGUAAAGUAAAGAAGGAAACCAUGAGCUACAACCUAACCAAAAUAUAGGAGUACUGAAAUGUGCUCUGAGUGAAAUCAUGCUAUACCCGAGCUUCAAAGUUGUUAUCUAAAAGAAUGUUUGACGACUUUAUAUCCCUGUGAAUAAUUCGAGGAUGACCUGACAUUAAACAAAUAAAACCAAACUUGGUCAACAAAACACUUCCAGUUAAAUUAUGUAACCGAUAAAACAAUUGUACGAGGAUAUAGUAACCCAAACAUUCAGCUAUCAGAAUCCAGAAACUCAGGGUAGAUAAUUACAAUCUUCAUGAAGAUAAGCGAUCCCACGAGCUGCACCAGCAGCAACCUUAACACGUGUCGCCCAGUCCAGAACUGGCCUACCUUCUCCUGAAAAUUGCAAGGUGCAAAACAUGAGAUUACGGAACCAUUAUCACUAACUGUUACUUAAAAGCUCUGUUAUAGAUAUACCAUGAAGAUGAAAAUAAAGGCUAUCGUUAGCAACAUAUUCAUAGACGAGCAGCCUUCGAUUAUCAGAGAUGCAGUACCCAACCAGAGAAACCAAAUGGCGGUGAUGUAUGCGACUAAUAAUCUCAACUUCAGCCUUGAAUUCUCGCUCACCCUGACCCCCUCCAAUUUUUAGUUGUUUUACUGCCACCUCUCUCCCAUCUGGUAGGCAUCCCUUAUAAACACAACCAAAUCCGCCUUCGCCCAAAAGAUUCUGAGAUGAAAAACCAUUUGUGGCCUUAGCUAGUUCUUCAAAAGUAAACCAUGGUCUUGAAUUUCCAACUCCUGCUUGUUCUGGUGGAGGACUCAUGAACUCACUGCCAGAACGGCUUCCAACAAGGGGAGCUGAAGAAUGUGCCUUCAAGAAGGAUGAAUCUGGAAACAAGUUACAAAAGCCUUCUUAAAUACAACGGCUUAUAUGAGCUGAUUAAUUUAUCCCAUACCCUGAUCUGAGUGAGGCUAAAUAUACUCUUAAAAUAGUAUGUUGAACUUAUUGAAAUUUAGAAAUAUCAUUAAACAGAAAAUCCCACAUUCAUAAUAACAAAACAAGGAAUCAACUGCGUUAUGUAUGAUUGAAGGUACCUGAUCGUGGAGAAGAAUCCAUAGUGGAUUGCAUAGCAUAACCUUCAAACCCGGAUACUUUUUUCUUUUGCCUCCUCAUGCACCAUACAAUCAACCCAACGAGACUAAGCACUACUGCCCCUACCACUACUCCAAUCGCCACUAUGCCUCCGGUACCAAUGCCGUUGGAAUUUGAACUUUGUGGUGCAUUCGGACUGGAAGUGUUUGUUAGUGGACUUGGAAUUUGAGAAUGAACUGGUGGAGAAGCCUGUGAGGGGGGAGGUGGUGACAUUCUUAUGAUGGGUGGUGGAGGUGAAGGGGUUGGUUGAGAACCAGGUGGGGCUGGAGUAGUACGGCUAGGAGGCGGGGGUGCUUUUCUGGGAGGUAUUGAUGCUGGUGGAGGAGAUGAACUUUCAGGGGGGGUUGAUGCUGGUGGUGGAGGUGAACUUUCACGGGGGGUUGAUGCUGGUGGUGGAGGUGAACUUUCACGGGGGGUUGAUGCUGGUGGUGGAGGUGAACUUAUGGGUGGCACAAUUGCUGGAGGUGGGGGUGAAUUCGGUGGUGGGUCUGAUGGUGACGGUCGUGGUGAAGUUUUGGGGGGACUUGAUGGAGGUGGAGGAGACUUCUCAGGUGGCGGUGAAGUUUCAGGCGGCUUUGAAGAGGGUGGAGGUGGAGGUGAACUCACUGGUGCGGGAGAUUGCGGCGGAGGAGGUGAACUUGCAGGUGGAUCAGAUGUUGGUGGUGGCGGAGAAGGUGAACUUUUCGGUGGAUUUGAUGAUGGUGGGGGUGGAGAACCAGAAGUUGGUGAUGGGGGUGAAGAAUCAGAAGCUGGUGGAGGUACAUUGGAUGAAGGCGGUGGUGGCGAGGUUGGCGGUGAAGCAGAUUGUGGAGUUGGAGGAGGUGUUUGUGUUGGAGGUGGUGAGGAUGUGGUUGGAGGAGGAGCUGAUGAAACAACAGGUUGCGGAGAUUGAGUGGUUGCCUUAGAGGACUCUGGUGAAUCCAAAUUCGGCUGAGAAGACGGUGUCGGUGUGGCGGUUGACGGCGAUGUUAAAGUAGUAUUGGAAGCUGGCGGCACGGCGGAUGGAGACGAAUUUGGAGAUGGCGAUGUGGUUGCCAUCUAACUAGACCCAAAAUCCAGUGAUGGAUACCAUAUAACUCACACACCACAACCUUCAAUCAAUCAUGAAAUCUUCAAUCUUUUCACAAAAAAAACAGAGCUUUCAAUACAAAAGGCCAAAAAUUAGAGAAAAACCCAAGCGACAAGUUUCAAGUCUUUGUCAAACCAACAUCUCCAAAAACUUCAAAAAAUGGAAUUCCCGAAAUUCCCCCCACCACCAAACUCCACCAACCAAUCACCUCCAAAACAUCAAAAUAUUCUUCUGUGAUCAAAAUCCCAGAAACCCAACUCAGCAAACAGGCUUUUCAGAUCACUAACUUCAAAGAGUGUGAGAGAAUUCUAAUUUCACAAAUAUUAAAGUAGCAAUCUUUCUCUAAGUGAACACUCAAAAAUCCAAACUUUAAGUGACCAAACGCAGCAGAAGCAGCAAUAUUAUCACAAAUUGGUACUAAUAAGCAAAACCCAAAUGGUAAAAUCUGGAAAGGACUUACCUUUACUUCGUCAAUGAUGGCCAAACAAAAACCCUAAACUUUGAUCUCUUGAAACUUCCUUAUCUCCCAACUCUGCACCGGAAGUUCAACACACGGCUUGUGGGGUCUCAAAUGUACUCUGCGAAAACUGAAAACGACUCCGAAAGAAAAAUUAUUAUUGUUUGAUGACAAUUUAUAUGGUAUUUUCUUUUUUUUAAACUCUUUCUUUUUUUCUUUUCUUUUUUUUGAAAAAAUAAUCAUAAAUAUUGACAGAUUAAUGUGGUUGGCUUUUUUUUCUAACGUCCAUUUAGUACUACGCAACGUAAACGCAUUGUGCAAUUUGGUCAGCGCAAUUUAAAUCUUAUGGAGUUUGGACCUUUUCCAUUUGUUUCCUUUCAAAUAUAUUUAGAUUUCAUAAAUUUGUUUUUAUAAAGUUUGAUACGUUAUAAUAACUAUCAAUUAAUUGAAUAUAAACAAAAUGUUGUAAAAUAGUAUUAUCAAAAUUUUGGCUUUUCAUUCUGUUUCCUCUUAUGAUUUUUUAAUGAUUUUCACGCGAGCAAUAUCAUACGUCGGUAGAAAAUUUCCGGCUCAAUUUUUUUUAAGUUUGAAAAGAUAUGGGAGAUAUGUAUUAGUUUUUGCAGUGUGUUAUUACGUAAGCUGUCAUAUAAAAUGGAAUUAUUCUAUAACUAUGACAAUUAAAUUAGUAAACUAUUCACCUCCCUAAAAUGUUGAUUUCGUCCUUAAAGACAAUUUAAUACUAUAAACAAAUAGAAUAAUCACUGUAAUGUGCCUGUAGUCUGUAGUUUUUUGGAGUUUAAUUUUGGAGCCACGAGUUUGACAACAUUCUUUAAUGCCACCAAAUCCAGCUUAGUCCAACUUUCUUUUUUUUUUUUUUUUUUUUAAUUUUAUAUAUAUAUUCGUUCAAAAUUUUGUAAAGAAUGUGCUAUUUACAUAUUUAUUUAUUUAUAUAUUUCUGUUUAUUGAUCUUUUGAUCAUCUUCAAUUCAUUUAAUUCGACGGUUAAGAAUUGAGAGGUAUGACGUGUAAAAGAUAAAAAAAAAAAAUUAUAUAUAUAACACCACUAUUUUGUAAAUCGGCAAUUCAGCAACUCAGCAAUAUACAUAUAUAUACACAUAUAUAUACAUACAUAUAUACAUAUAUGCAUAUUCUCGAUGGGAACAAGGACAAUCUCCGAGCAUAAUCUUUUAUUUUGUUCACAUUAGAAGAAAAGACUACAUGCAGGGUUAAAGUAAUCCGUUAGUUUAUGGACAAGCGAUAGGAUGCUAUGAAAUAUAAUAUAUUGAAUAGCGGGUUUAAUCUGGUGGCGGUGGGGCCGGCCCGGCAUGGAUAAAGAGAAGUAAUUUUGUGUUGUGAUUUUAUAAUUUAGGGAAAAUUAGAAUUUCCUAUAGUUUUUUUAUAUUAUUUAGAUUAAACAUUUGUGUUUUUUUUUAAAUUUGAUUAAAAUGCUUUGAUCAAUAGUCACCUCUAUUUUUUAAAAUACUAUUUAUCGUUUUAUCUGCAUGAUGCACUUUUCCUUAUUUAGUAGAGAUAUUAUUAAUUAAACUAUAUUUUCUCUUCUUCCAAAUAUGUUUUUUCAAUCACAGGUUUUUUUUUUCGUUAUGAAAACAUUUAAUAUUAUUUCUUUUUCCAAAUGGUUUUUCUUUUUUCAAAUAGUUGGUAAUCAACAUAAAAGUUCCAUGUAAUUUUUUCAAUUUUUUUGUGAAAUUAUUAUUAUUAUUUUGCUGUUUUUUUUAGUAUAGUUGUUGACGAAUUAUUAUUAGGUACAAUACAUUACAUAUAUAUUAUCUGCGGGUAUGUUUGUAUUUACAAAAUUUUUUAAUUUGUACGUUUAUUUGCAAUUUUGGUACGUUUGAUUUGAUACUUAUUGUUAAUAUUGUUACAUUAUUUUUAUUUUGGUACGUUUUAUUUUGUACAUGUAUUGGUAUGUUUAUAUUAUUCACAAUCUUAUUUUCUCUUAAAGUACUAAAAGAAAAACUUAUUUCGGUACGUUUGAUUUUGGGGGAUUUAAAAAUAUUUUAAACUAUUUUGGAAAGAAAAUAUCUUAAAUUCUAGAUAAUUAUUGCUAAAUUGUAGCAUUAUUGUGAAAAUAAAUUGAAUCUAACCAACUUUUUUUUUUUUUACAAUUAUCUCUAAUGGAGAAGAUAGUAAUCAAAAGGUUAGAUUAUAGGAAAUUUGUUACAAUAUAAUGUGCAUAUAGCACCAAAAUUAUAACAAAAAAAAGUUUAAUCAAAUCACUAAAAGACAUGGAUGUUUGAUCUAGAAAAUUCAAAAUUGAGACGCCUAUAUCAAAAGAUCCCCAUAAUUUAAUAGGAGGAGCAUCGUCUCUCUCACAGAGGAUGUCUGCAGAAAUUGUCAAAUGUUUGAAAGUGGAGGAGGUGGUGGGUCAGUGCCCUAAUUAUGCCCCGUCUGUUGCUGUUUUUCUGCUGCUGCUGCCCGUGAAGCUCCUCCACGGGCUGCUGUUUUGGAUCUUGACGUCGAGAUUGCUCGGUUUCAAAGCUACCAUGGUAUCAUUUGAGACCUGAAAUCUAAAUCCUAAAAUGUGAUUUAUCUACGACAAAGAAUGCCCACGCAUAUGUAAAUCGAUUAAAGUAGUGUGUUUUCUCUUUUGUAUUUAAGUUUGAAUUUCUUCGUCAUAAUUUAAAUUACUAAUAUGUAAAAUGUUGUUCGGUGUUUACUGUUGUUUAAAAUUACAAUGGCUCCUUUAUUUUUCUAAGUUAAUAUGUGGAGUAAUGCUAAGUAGACCGAAUUUCUAAACCAAAUUUGCAUUGGAUUAAUGGGUAAGUUGGUAAGUGGGUUCUUUUUUUUUUUUUUGCAAAAUUUAACUUUUUAUAAGAAUCAAUAAAUUUUUUUUUUCAAAUACCGGAUAUUCAAAUGGUACUCUACAUGUCAUAAUACAUUUUUCGUGUUCCUAUACCUAUUUUAUAACACGUGAGUGCUCAUUUAAAAACUAAUCACUUUGAAAACGUGGUAUUGGGGAAGAAAAGUAAAAGCAAACCGCGAAUAUACGAAGCACACGCGUGCACAGUAACAAUUCUGCCCAAGUGAUAAGAUCGUGGGAAGAAAAGCCGAAAUCUAGUGAAAACACACAUGCAAGUUGCAACCACGACCACGACAUCAAGGUUCCCAAAGUCUACUCCCCGCACAUUGACGUCGUAUUCUUGCACUUCAUUAUUGAAACGAUGCCACAUGUGGUGCAACUUUCUAGACACGGAGGAGUUGGAGAACUCCUUUGCAAUUAAGAUAUUACAUGAGUUAGUUGCCGUAUCUCAUAUCAAUCACAUCUUGUUAAGUGUUAUUAAAAUUUUUUGGUAACAAGUUUGAGUUGAGUUAAAAUGUUUACCUAUUUAACAUAACGUUUUGCGUCAAUUAUACAACACGCGUAAAUUUCUCUAAAAAACAUUAUAUUAUUAGCAAGAGAAAUCACGUUCCUGAUAUAUUUGUGUUAUGAAAGUUACUCUCGCAUUUGAGAGUUAAAAAGUCAACCAAACCAAAUUACGUUACCUUUAGCUUAAGCUUAUUAAUUGAUAAUUUACCCAUUUGGGUCACAUUGAUUUUAGGCGCAGGAAUGUCUAAAAAGUUUGCCCCAAAAGUAAAGAAAAUAGAACAAAGGGCUUUAAGCCCAAUCCGCCUAACUUGAACUUAGAGAUCCACAAUACAAGCCUAACCUGACAACCUCCGUCUCACCAAACUAACUUAAUUGAAAAUUAAGCAAGUUUGUUGCAAGAGAAGUUCAUUUUUCUGGGUUACUCUAAACUUGAUACACUCCGGGACAUAUCUAAUCGAUGUGUUUCCGGUAUACGAAGGAGAAAAACUAACUAUUUUAAAAUUCAAAAAAAUGAAAAAUGAGAAAAGUUUACAAGAACUACCGUGUUUAGUGGUGUUCAGCUGGUGGAUUGAAGCAGCUUCAUAUAUUUGGAGAUUACCGUACCUUUACUUUCACCCGGGCCUCCACGGAUGUAUGCUUGGAUUCCACAGCGGCAACUGGAGAUCCUAUAAUCCUGUUGGGGGGUGCUCUAUAAUACAAGAUCCUUGUUUGCCCUUCAUGCGAGAAGACAAAAAAAUGGUUAACAAGGAACGUGCAGCAGGGUGGCGGCCAACUUCAACAAGGAGGCUUGACUGCGAACCAUGACGUGAGAAAUAUCCUUUUUUACUCUUGCCUAAUCGUGAAUUUCUUCUAGCAAUUAUCACAGCUGCCCAACUCUUUCCUAGUUUCGUUUGGAAUUUGCCUGGGGAAAAAGAAGGCAAACAAAAAAUAAUAGUUACAAAUAGCAGAAAUCACAAAUUUCCCUACUCUAGUUAGCAUCAAAAUAAAUCAAUCUAGCUGCUGUCGAAAUGAAGAACUCAUCCAGCACCUUUCCAUGUUCUGUUUGGGAAUAAAAAUAUCAAGAGAGGAAGAUAAGAAAGCUAACAAAGUUACAGCAAAAGAAUGAAACACUUUUACCCAUUUCGUAUUCCAACGCUUGCAGAAUCAUUUCAACCUGGACAGAAUUGCAUAACCAUACUGAAUGAAGGGAAAUCUUAAGAAAUAGUGGAAGGUCUGAAAGGUCUAUACGCGUAACUCAUGUCAGCCCAUAUAAGCACGCAGCACGCAAGUAGGAAUGAGUAUAUUUCUUGUGUUGCAACAUUACUUUAGUCUAAAGAAAGGUUUGGAAUUGGCACUGUAGAAAUGAAUAGUGUUUCAAUCCGAAUUUCAGAUUAAUUACAACCAUGCCAUUGGUCUUUGUGUUGGUUUUGGGUCAGCAGCUCGGCCCUUAGCUAGGCCCAAAUGUGUUGGUUUUGGCUGGGAAGCCUGGCCCUUAGUGAUGCCCAAAUUAUUUAAUUACAUUUUUGCCCGUCUAAGAUUAGAAUCCGAUGGUGGGGAUGGUGUAUUAUGAAGGGCAAUUUUGUCCUCUCCGUUUUGGGCGAGAUGGGGGGUCACCGGUUAGGUAUCAUUUGUUGUCAUUCAAUUAGGGUUUCAGGGAGGGUCUGCGAGAGAGAGAGAGAGAGAGAGAGAGAGAGAGAGAUGGCGAUGCAAGGAGAGCGAGGGGGAGGGGGAGGGGUAGGGGUCUCGGCACUGUUGCUGCAGAUGGGAGGGUCGGUAUGGUCAGAGAAUACCAUAUGGAUCGUCGGGAUUUUAGGGAGACGGGGUAGGGGUCAUCAACAAACCCUACUGAGAGUGGGGUGUGCCGGAUCUUGCGUUGCAUGCCUCAAAUCCAAAGAUAAGUUCUUUUUUCAAUUGUAUUCUUUAAUGGUGCCUUAGAUUUUCUAAUUGUUUAAGUAUGUUAGGUCCGGUUUUGGGGGAUUUGUGAUUUUAUGGAGAGAGAUGGAUAGGGAGAUAGAGAUUGACAGAGAAAGGAGAAAGCAUGGCUAUGUGCAUUUUUUGGGGUUAAUUAAUGGGUUGGUGCGCAGAGUUAGUGAGGAGAGAGUGACAGAGGGGCAAUAUGGGCACUUUUCUUGGCAAUAUAGUGCUUAGCUUAAAAUUAGAAUGUGAUUAAGUUGUAUUGAAUUUGUUCGAUUAACCAUUGGACCAUUUAUAGUUCAUUUAAUCUUUUGAAUUAUAAGCUAAUGUGUUGUGUCCUUUACAUUUCUUGGUAUGUUAUUGAUAUGGAAAACAUCAUCUAUCUGUUCUAUUUAUCGCAUGUCAUAAGAAUCAAAGUAGACUUGGCAUCCUUUUUGUGGCCUUUUUUGUGUUGGCAGAUGCCAUCAGAUAGGCAAAAUCAUAUUGGCUACAAAGUGCAAUGAAUGCUACAGGUUACUAAGUUUCGCCAUAUGCCUUCAUUGUGGCAUUGCCCUUUCUACAACAAGUAAGCAUUCUAAUUUCACUUUGUGGAAUGAUAUUAAGUUGACUUAUGGAAUAAUAUAGAGUUGUGUCAUGCAUGAAAACUAUGAAUCCAUUUCAUCAUGCAUUUUUUAGUUAAACUACUAUGUUUUUGUUCAAUUGACUACAAUUCAUGCCGCAGUUCGCUUCACAAACCUCUACUGUUAGCUUCCAUACAGUAUGUUGCAAGUUUGAGGAUAUCUCUUGUUACACCCACCCAUAAUUUAAAUUGUAUUUUCACUAAGUUUGAGAUUAUCUUGCUUUUAAAAUGGUUUUUGAGUCUUAAAUGGUGUGCCCAAGGGGCCCACCCUGUUUUGUCCCCCGGUUCCCUUUCCAUUUUCUUUUAUUUUUCUGAAAAGUCUUCCUCUUUCUCUCUUCUCCCUCACUCUCCCUUAUCACUCUCUCUCGGCUCUUUCUAUCUCAACCCCUCCGAGGGCUUUUCUUACCAACAAACAACACCACAACAACAUCAACAUCUCCAUUAGCACCCUAGUGAGCUUAGAAUCGAAGAAAGAACACCCCAAACCCUUCUCUUCCUUUCGGCCGGUACUGUUCAUCAUCUUCUCCGUCGAGUUUCGUAUCGUUCCGACGUUGGUAAGCUUCUAGAAGACCUUGUUUUGUAUUUUAGGGUUAUAUCGAAGCUUGUUUUAAGUUGUGUAUACGUUUGAAUCGCAGAAAAUAGCUCGGAGUAGCUUUUCCAAAUUUUCCGGCGAGCAUGGCCACUUUCGAGGAAUUUUCCGGCCAAACCACUAUGCGUUGGCCGGCAUGCAAGAUAUAAAUCUCUUCGUCUCGCUGAGUACUACAACUUUCCUUUUUGUUUCACCCAAUUUCGUUGAGUAUUGAAGAAGUUAUACUCAUUUGACUCUUACCCAGUUUCCAGCGACCUCAGAGGCUUUCGAGGCAGUUUUCGGUCAAACCAUUGCGAGUUAGACGUCUUGUAAGGUACCAUUCUCUUUGUCUCUUCUAGAACUACAACUUUCCUUUUUGAAUCACUCGAUUUCGUUGAGUUUUGACAAAGUUAUGGCUGUUUAAAGUUGGUGUAGAUUUCCAGCCGAAUUCCGGCCUUCUUCUUCCUUGGGUCCGGCGACCCAUCAAGAAUAGGCCUUUUGGGCCUUUCCUGCCGAGCCCAACCCAAACCCAUUUCUUUUAUUUAUUCAUUUUGUUUUAAUUUUAAUUGGUUAAUAAAAAGGCCUUUGGGCCAUUUUAUUUAGGGCUAUAGGCCCGUCCUCUAUAGAACCCAAAAACCCUUAGGUUUAAGGCCUUUGAGCUUUAGCGGUUGGGGGCCCUAAGCCCAACCCUAACCUUUUAAAUUAUUUUUGUUUAUUAAAUUGAUUUUAAAAACCCUAAAGGCCUUUAGGCCAUUUUCCUUUAGGGCCUUAUGCCCGUGCAUCCUAAGCCAACCCAUUAAACCUCAUUACCCUUAACCUUUAACCCUGAUCUGUCCAAACCCUUUAUGGGAAAUAUUCCGUUAGGGAAUAUUCCAUUAGAGAAUAUUCCGUCAAGGAAUAUUCUAGGAAUAUUCUAUCAACUUUUACGAAGUUUAAAUGAGUCCAUUCUUAGGGUAAUUCGACGUCCUGAAUCCGUUUCCAACAUCCGUUUUUCCAAAUUCAAUUGUUAUAAUAAAGUUUUAUUAAUUGGACCAUUUAUGUGCUUAGGGACAAUAUUUGUGACGUUUCCAUGGUUGCUAGUUUGCGUGGCUCUUCGACGGCUAAGUAUCUGUGAGUGGACCUAGGGCUGGGUUCGGUUCAAAACGGUUCGGUUUUUUGCCAAAACCGAAACCGAACCGAAAUUUCGGUUCGGUUCGGUUCGGUCCAUUUUUUUUUCGGUUUUUUUCGGUUCGGUUUCGGUUUUUUUCGGUUUUUUUUUUUUUUUUUUUUUUUUUUUUGGAAAAAAUGAAAACAAAAUUGAAAUCUAAAAUUUUAACAUCUCCAACACAAUUAUAAUAUAAGCAUUCUAACACAAUGAACAAAAUUUAUAUGAAAAAUGCACACAUCUUUAAAAUACAAAGUACAAGCCUAUCAUUCCUAAACAUGAAGUCGUUUAAUUACCAUACCUGUUUCACCAUCAACUGCAUGAACAUUAUCAGUAAUUUAUUUGAAGGACCACAAAGCCAUUAUCUGGACGUCUAGUAUUCAAAGGAUAAUCUAAAAUUGAACACCACCCAGAUGGAUGGACAAAAAGAACGCUUUGAAGGGAAGCCUAAAAUUAAUUUGAGACAAUACAGAUGCAUAUAACCAGUUUUCUCUAAAGUGAUAUAAGUAUAUCUUAUAUAAAUCAUGUCAACAAGAACAAGCCUGGAUGUUCAAUUCUAUUUGUUCUCUGAGAAAUCAAUACCAACUUCAUAUAUUGUCCAGAUCCGUUUACAAUUUAAACUCUAAUACUCAUACAUAAUGUAGUCAAGAAACAAUAUGCUCUAUUGAUGCUAGGUUUGAUGGAAAUCUUCCUUCAGCACCAAAAACGUUAUCCAUAAUAAAACGCUACUCAGAGAAUUGCAAUGCCUAUGCUACUUUUCAGAACACGUUACCAAUGAAUCUUUGGUCUUUUCCAUCAUGACUUAGCAAGUCCAAGAGUCCAUAACCUAAAUGAAAAUACAUGUUUAACAAGAUUUUUACCACUAAAAGAAACAACAUAUGAUUUACAACCUUCAACAACAUGUCAAAUUUGCAGGGCCAUAGUUUCACUUAAGGAAAUACAAGAGUCGGCAGAGAAAGAAAUUCAAAGAUAACAGGUAAUCACAUAUCAUGGAAGCUCUGAUUCCCAGAGAAAUAUACUUAUCUCCAUCCUCUUUUCAAAUUAUACAUAAAAGUAGGCUAUCUAUCGUCACUACACCUUGCCAAACCAUAAAGCUGCUGAUUUCCUCCAAUAGCCGAGCUUCCACAUAUAUUACCAGCUUGACAGAUUACCCCAAAAACAAAAUGAUAAGUCAAACAUGAUCAAAUUGUUCCCAAAUUAAGACGAAGAAAGAAACUGCAAAAGCAGCUCAAAAAAAAUCCAACUGGGUAACAAGUAAGCAAAAAGUUCCCAACUCAAAUUUAGCAUGCAAUUAAAAAUGAAUGAGCAAAAAAAAUUCAGAAGUACAAAAAAAGACAAUUACUUUCUAUUUCCCUAACCUCAAAUUUCUCCCCUGAGCAAAUUUAACAUACAAUUAACUGAUUAAGCAAAAAAAAAUGAAUGAGCAAAAAAAAUUGUAAAGAAGUGGGAAAGAACACAGAACACCUUGAUUUUUGUGUACUUUUCGUAGAGUUUGGAGUAGAGAGCUUCCGUCUGCGAACGAACAAGAAGAAGCUCACGGCGAGACUAACCUUUUGCAGUCGAGACUCGAAAUGGCAAGAAGAAGCUCACGGCGAGAUGAAGGACUGACGGCGAGGGCGAGGUGUGAGAGAUUGAGAGUGAGAUGGGUCGCCCCGUCGUGGGUCGCCUGAGAUUCAAGACCGAGAGAGACAGAGAGUUUGAGAGAGACAGAGAGUGAUUGAAGUUGAAGACCGAGAGAGAGAGAGAGAGGAGGCUAACCUUUUGCUAUCGAGACUCGAAACGGCGAGAUGAGAGACUGAUGGAGAGGGCGAGGUGUGAGAGAUUGAGAGUGAGAAGGGUCGCGCUGUCGCGGGUUGCCUGAGAGAUUGAGAGAGACAGAGCGAUUGAAGACCGAGCGAGAGAGACAGGAAGCUCAGGCGGCGCGAGAGGGUUACUGGGUUAGGGUUCAUGGAGGGAGUCUGGAGGCAGGGAACAAGAGAGAGAAUAGGGGAAUGAAAAAUAAAAAAGUUAGGGUUAAAGGAUUUUGUUGAUUUCUCAACAAAAUUAAAAAACAAUCUCAUAAAUCCUAAAGGCAUGAGGGUUCGAACCCAUUGCCACCAGUGUGAAAAAUUUCGCUUAAACCAACUUGGCAACAAGUUCUGUUUUGUUAUGAUUGUAUGCCUAAAUUAUUUAUAAUAUUGAAAAAAAAUUAAAUAUAUAUAUAUCGGUUCGGUUCGGUUCGGUUCAGUUUUCGAACCUCAAAAACCGAAACCGAACCGGUCAGAUUCGGUUCGGUUCGGUUUGACAGUUUCAGUUCGGUUUUUUUUCGGUUCGGUUUUUUUCGGCCUCGGUUCGGUUCGGUUGUCGGUUUUUUCGGUUUUCGGUUUUUUGAACCCACCCCUAAGUGGACCCCUUCUAAAAUGAUGUUUUAAUAAUAGAAAUGCAUACAUGAAAAGCAUGGUUUAUGAGAUGCUUUGAGAUAACAUUCUUAUUGAGGCUAGUUUGAAUUAUUACUAUUUUUCCUAUAACCUACGUUCUUAUAGAAUAUCUUAUGGAUGACAAUAUGAUAUUUAGAACAUGUUUCGAACACCUCUUUAUAGUAUAGAUGAUGGAUGACUUUAUACUAUGAAGUUGCUUUUCAAUAUAUAUGUGUUAAAUGGUUUUGUACUUACCUAGUGAUCCUUUCCGCUACGGGAUGUAGGGAUAGAUUCCGGUCCGUCCCGGGCGACGGUUUGGUGUUGGUAUAGGGCCUGGAGUGUGUUUCCUCUGGCUAUUAGCACAGGGACGGGGAGCCGGCAUGGGGCAUGAAGUGUAUUUUCCUCUUACUGUCUGCUCAAAGACGAGGAGCCGGCAUGGGGCCUGCAGGUUAUCGGACAAUUCACUAGUGAUUGUUAUAUAUACAAAUUAUGAUUUGAGAUAUUGCACGACAUGCUAGGUUUCGGAAAACCUAUGUUUAUCAUGAUAUGUGUUUUCAUAAAACAUGGGGGUUAGUACGUUGAUAACUGUUUUAUUAUAUAUAUAUAUAUAUAUAUAUAUAUAUCAACUUGGUCCACUCAUGUUUGUUUUGCGCCCCCUUCAGGACUUAGAAUCGAGGCAUAAAAUCCCGGCAUCCAGGCAUUUCCGCAUCAACAUCUUCGAGUCCUCUCGAUGUAGGACCCACUUCUUUGUUCAUUCAAUUUUAUAUUAUUUCUUUUAUUGUUCUAGUUAGUUGUAUGCUCUGAACACGUUCCUUAAAUGCAUAUUCUUGAACUUUUUAUAUUUAUAAGUCUUAUCCAUCAUUUAUUCUCAGCAUUUGCACUCAAUAAAUGGCUUUCGUCACCCUCGGAUGUCGGCCAUCAUGUGCCUAUCCUGGUAUUCAGGGAAUAUCGGGAUCGGGGCGUGUCAUCUCUACAUCUUAAUUUUUGCUCUAUGGUUGCUUCAAGUUUGUAAUUUUACAUGCUACACUGCCACUUGAUUUGAUUAUAAAAAUGUAAAACAAAAUCUGUCCAUGAUUUACAAAUUUGUAUUCGAUUUUUGAUGUUUUUCAGUGUAAGGCAUAUGUUGCACAAGUGAGGUAUGUAGGCUGCAGAGCAUAUAUUUUGCCAUCUUAACUACAAGGGCAAAAUAUGUGUAAACUGUAGCUUGCUUCUAUUUCUUCAGUCUUGUAUGGAAACAAACCUUCUGCUUAUUUUUGCCUUUGAACAGUUGUGGUUACAAAAUUAGCUACUUGAACAAGUCCUCAACACUUUCUAUUUUUAAUUACCUGUUGAAAUGGCUGUCUACACUACAUGACACAUAUUAUAUGUGUGAACUAAAUGUUUCUUCUGUUUCUUAAGGAAACAGAACUUUUUUUGAAACCAUCUCUUUCUAAUCAAAGACGUUCAAUUUCUUCCCACUCAUUAUACAAUGUGUUUAAAUGCCAACUCACUUGAAUGUAUUUAAAAGCAAAACUGUUUAUCUUAUCGACCUCAUCCACUCAUAUAUCCCUUUGUUUGUUCAUAAUUGUGUUGAAUUUAUUCAUCUUUGAAUUUAUUCAACUUAAAUGUAUUUUAUUUAUCCGAUUACACCUAAAACAGCUGGUUUCCGGGGCAACGCACGGGCCUAAUAUCUAGUAAAGAACUAAAUUAGACAUUUCAUCUGUAUGCCUAAUAUAUUGAAGCAUGUCCAUAUAACAUUAAAUACGAAUGCCUAAAUAUAUAUACUUUGUCAAGAUCUUUCCCAAGAUUAGCCUCUACGGACGAAUUAUUUUCAUACACCGUCCAAAUUUCUUUGAUCUCUCCAGCUGCAGAUAAGAACUUUUCCAAUUAAUACAAUUCUGAAAAUGAAUAUUUUCAGAUAUAAAAAGAGUUGCAGGAAGAUAAAAAUUAGGGAACUUUAACGAAAAGCUCAUGGUAUUGUUCACUUUAACGAAAAAUCACAUUUUUACACUAAAAAUUCAAUCCUGGUACUAUUCACUUUACCCUUUAUUUUGUCCUUAUCGUUAAAACUUAAAGUUUUCAAACAUUUUUCAUUAGUUUUCCUUAAAAAUUAAUGAUCAACCCUAAUCCCUCCACCAAGAACCAAGCACAUUUCAUCCAAAGCUGCUUGCUCCAUUCUGCUCUUCACUGCUUCCGGUACGCCAUCAGAUGGUGUUAUAUCUCCAACAAUAGCUGAGAAUAGUUCAAUAGCAAUCUACUAUCAAAACACAUUUAUAUAUAUAGGUAUCACACUAAAUCCAUUGUAAAUAUAAUACAGAUGAAUAACGUGAAAGAACAAGGGAACAAAAGAUACCUUCUGCAGUGUCGUGCACAAUUUGUAUCUUGAUACACCUGUUCUGUUGAGGUAAGGGAAGGCAAAACACGAGAAAAUAAGGUACUGCACAGAAAAAGGUCCAAGUGGCAUAUCAAUUACAUGUAUAAUCAAGCAAGUCCGAUUAGAAAAUGAUAAAGAGCAUAGGCCAUCAUAUAGCAUCCGAACUCCAACCUUUCUCUAUUCGAGCCAGGAACGUCACCAGCAAUCAAGGACAUCAAAGCCAUGCGAUACAUAUGAUCUGCGAUGGACUCUGAACCCUUUAUUCCCUGAUUGAUUGAUCCAACCCUUCCUUUUUGUGGUCUACGAGAGAGAGGGAUAUGAUACCCUGAAUCUUCUUGCAAUUCAUAUAAUGAAGACAUUGUAAGAAUAUGAGUAUGAGAUAGAGAAGUUUUGGGACCCGUUAUAUGUAUUCAGUUUGAUAGAAAAGUCUUGUUAAUAAGAGGAAUACUUAUCCUUGACAAAGAAGGAUUUUGUAUAGCAUUGAGAUCAGUUCUUAUGGAACAAGGAAACAAGUAUUUGUUUCCUAUAGGGAUUUUAAUUGGGAAUCCUAUCUGUUAUGGAAAAGACUAUAUGUAUAUAUAUAGUGGCCUCUCUUCUUACAGAACACACGCUCAUAUUGGGAUUUAAACCUAUUUGUAAGUCGAGUUCUUGAUCAUAUGCGAGAGAAGAGAAGGUUCACUGAAAAGCUUGGCGUCAUGGCUUCAAGAUCUGGAACUGCUGCAGGUAUGCUUUUCUUUUUCGUCCUCUCAUACACGAAUUGUGGUUAAUUCUUUUCAGGUUGUAGUUCAUGUUUUAAUCUUGUUUAGUAAUUCACUGCUAACAGACAUAUUAUAUACACCCCCACUAUUACUACUUCCACGAAUCAUUUUUCUCUUCAUUAGAAAAUCCUAUCAAGUUUUAAAACUAAAGUUACUAAAUUCUUCCCGGCAAGUCAAUUUUCCACUUUGUCCCACUUAGUGUAUGGAUUGCAUUCCAAAACAUCUCAAUCAAGAUUUUCACAAUAUGAAACAUGGAGUUCAAUUCAAGCACCCAUCUGUGUUUGGUAGUUGAGAAAAUUCAGAAGUACCUAAAUUUUCAACUUUCCUAGCUAGCUCCCACCCAAUCUCUCAGAGACUACAACACAAAUUUUCAAUCUUUAUAGACUGCAGAUCACAUACACAAACAAUUCUCCAACUUUCCAUUCAUUUUAUUGAUUAAUUUCUCGGUAACCAAACAUAUGGAAAACAAGCAGAAUCAGCGCAUAUCUUGAGACGGUGACACAAUGUGAGAAAAUCAAUGGCGGAGGAUGCCGGAUGAAGAGCCCGGAGACCCGAAUGAAGCAUCGGAUUCGUUCGAACUGACAGACCGCUUGGAGGCGAGCCGUCCGGACUGGGUGCCUGCCAACGAACGGAAACGCCGGGACUUCGGCGGAAAAUCCGGGUCUGGACUGUUGUGCCUUGGCUGGUUCGUUAGUGCAGAAACGAGAUUUAGAUUACAACCUCAUCAAAUCACACUCAGUUGAAUAUAAUAAAAUACAAGAAAUAAAGACACCGAGAAAUUUACAAGGUUCGGCAAAAAUCCUGCCUACGUCCCUGGAGAGAUAUUGCUCUUCACUAUGAAUAACAGUACAAGUACACAUGAGUUAAAUCAACAUAACUCAAUCCCGAAUCCCUUGCACACCCACUCAUAGAAUUUUCCCAAGAGCCUCACUCUAUCCCAAGAGUUUUUUCACUAUAAUACUUUUCACUCUAGCUCUCUUGAUUUUCUCUCAACCCAUGUUCAACCUUUCCCAUGGGAGAGCAGGAUGCUCUCCCCUUGGAUGCUUCUAUGAUGCUUACCUUCCCACUUUCUAAGCAUUACUAAAUGCACAAAUAUUGCAUCUAGUUAUAAGCAUACACUAGCAACUAUGCCAACAACCAAGACCAAAAAGUCUUAAGUUCAUAUGACAUAAUUAUUACCUAGCCUACCUAGCAUGCACCAAAGUCUAUACCUAAUCUAUAAAGUACAACUUUUCUCCAUUUGUCAUUUAAUGCAUAGAAGAGAAAACAUGCACAAUAAGACAUGCACAAUUAUGUGCAAGCAAACACAAGGUCAAGUCUUGCUUGCUUCCAACUUUGCUUGUGGCAGUUACCAUGUCUUCAAUUAUUGUCAACAUAAUUACUCACAAAUGUAUGGGUCAAACACAACAUGGACAAGGUCCGUUGAAGAAAGCGGGAGGCGAACGAGGAGGAACAGAGUGGGUCAGUGGAGCCGCGCAGCAGGUUUGGGGAAUUAACUUACGAAACACGUCUAGGGGGCGUUUGUUACAGCUCCUUAGGAGGGACUGGCUUGAACUAGCUUAAAUAGGAUUAUAAUCCUGUGUUUGGUGGCUGGCGGGACUAACAUUAAUGGCACUAGGUGGGACUCGCUUUCACAAACUCCUUCACUAGCCGGUCUUAGCGAGAGACCUCGACACCCAUAGGACUAGCUAAGACCUUCCAUCGUCCUCUCUUGCCUUCGUCCACUCUCGCUGCAUCUUUAUCUCCUUCGUCUGCUUCGCUGCCCUGGGUUCAUCGACCUCGAUUUUCUACGGCAUGGGAUUCAAUGAAAGCUGGAAGUUGGAGAGGCGUAGGGACAAGUAAGUUUACAGAGAUUGGAGAAAAGGGAAAUAGGAGGGAGAGGCGGAGGGACAUGGGGAAAAAGGGAAAGGAGGAUGGAGAGGCGGGUGGAGAAAUAAGGUUACAGAGAGAUUGGAGAAGGGGAAAAAGGGAAAGGGGAUGGAGAAAAGGGAAAUAGGAGGGAGAGGCGGACAGACAAAAAUGGGGUAAAAGGGAAAGGGGGAUGGAGAGGUGUAGUAAAAGGGAAAGGGGGAUGGAGAGGUGUAGGGACAAGUUAACAGAGAUCGGAGAAGGGGAAAAAGGGAAAGGAAGAUUGGAGAGGAUGAUGAUUAUAGAAGAAGGAAAAAACAAGAUAAAGUAAUAAUAAAAUAUUAAUCAAUAUAUAUUAAAUUAAUAUAAAAUAAUAUAAUAUUGUAAUCCUGCUUCUUAGUCCGACACUGCACCAAACGCUUCACUAAACUAGUCUAGCUUAGUCUAGUCUAAGCCAGUCCAGCUUAGUCCCUGAAGCUAAUGCAGUCCGAGACAGUCCGGUGCAACAAACGCACCCCUAGGAUCUUAACAAGACUACGGUCUUGUAUAAAUAAUUAUUAAGUAUCAUUUUUACUAUCUAUGUAAAUUGAAUUUGAGAUUUUGCGAAUACUAUUAAACCAAAGGUUAAAUAGUUGAAAGACAGUUUUAUUCAAAACUUAGAGCAAAAGUAAUUUUUUUGUCGGACAAUCUAAUACUAAUUCAUCUUCUACUGUAUCUCACCACUUAAACAUUUUCUUUGGAAAAUUGCAUUUUUCCAAAUUUGAGGGGGAAAAUGUCAACAAUGCUAUCGUUCAAAUUAUAAACGUUUAAUUAUAUGAGAUCGAGAAAUUAAGAGAGAAAAAAUAAGUAAAUAUGUUUGGGUUGAUUAGGGAUCAAGUUUUAAUUAACACUGCAAUAUAAGAGUCGCUACAAAUGCCCCGAUUAGUGUCUCAACUAUGCACAUUCCUAGAAUUAUUUUUCCUUCGUUUAGCUAAAGAAUAAAAAUAAAAUUACAAAACAAUAUUACAAUCUAACUAUAUAAACAUAUAUAACAAUUAAAGAGUUGGGAAAUUGAAUGAAUAAUAAGUACGAGGAAUUAUCAAAGCAUGUUCCAUCCUAUAUUUUCUCUCAAAGUGAGAUUCUUUAUGAUUAUCCUAUAUUUUAAUGUUAAUUCUUAUGUUAAUAUUAUAAAUAUUAUACUAAAAAUAUGAAAUGACAAAUAAUUUAUAAAAGAUCAUUUUCAAAAGAAUCUCUUUAACAAUUCUCUUCUGUUUGUACUAUGUGGCUCUGUGGCACCGGACCAAUUUAACAAACGAUCGUGGAAAAGAAGAAAUUGUCCUUGUGUGUUGAAUUCACGGACUUCUUUUUCUUACAUUUUUGAUGGGGAAUUCGUGGACCUUAAGGUUUUGAGAGCGGCGCAAAAGCGUUUCCCACGGGUAUCACAACUCCCAUGCCACUCAUGCAUGCAAUGAUUUCACUGCCUCAACAACUCUUUUUAUAAGACGUAGGUUGUCUGCCAUUUCCAUCCCGUAUGUUUUUUUAUCUUUUUUUUAUUUCUUUGGUUACAGUUAAAUCACGUUAAUAUUUUAUAUUUUUAUUAUUUUUUAUCUUAUUAUUUUUAUAAAAAAAUUAAUAUAAAAUGUUAAUAUGACAGUUAAAUCACGUUAAUAUUUUAUAUUUUUAUUAUUUUUUAUCUUAUUAUUUUUAUAAAAAAAUUAAUAUAAAAUGUUAAUAUGAUUUAACCGUGAACACAAAAAUAUGAAUAGAUAAGAAGGGUAUGGAAUGGGGGAAUACAGAUAAUCCAAGUCCCUUUUUAUAGAACUUUCUCGACAAACUUGACCGAGUCAAAGCAGCCGAAAAUAAUUGCACAAGUCAUUAGUCUUUCUACGAAAUGGUGCUAUCUACGUAAUGAGAGAUUUUUAGUGUGAUCGUCACACUAGUUGGUUUAUUACGUGUUGUUAUAUAAUUGAUGAGAUAUGUGUGUUAAAAAUUUAAUAACUUAAAAAGUAAAAUUUUUCAUCACUUACGUAAAAACACGUAGUGUAUCAUUCGUGUUCCUAUUAAAUUAAAAAUUUCUCCUACGUAACGGCGUCUGUUGACAGAUCUGAGGCUUGUAGGGUAAUUGACAAAACGUUUGCUUCUUCACGGAACCAACCACUGAAUUAGGAUAUCGUUCUUGGGAUUUAUAAUAUUUUUAUACAACUGUAUUCUAUUUUAAAUGAAGAGUGAUUGGAAUUGAGAUUUUUUCGGAAUCUUUGUGUCCGCUCGAAAAUUCAAAUAGUUCAAGAGAGAGAUCUGAGGCAUUCAAGGACUUGAUUUUGUGAAUGGUGGGCCAUGUGUUAAUAAAUGUUGCAUGCUAUAAAUGAAGUGGCUUGAUUUUUUGGGUCUGUUGGCUCUGUACUCAGAGACCCAGAGAGGAUCGCGGCCUAUGUCACACAAUAGGAAAGUCAUAACUAUCAUCAUCAAUAAGUCAAACUCAAAACUUCUCACUUACAAAUGAAAAUGAUACAUAACACUAGUUAGUAACUUAAGACUUAUUAUUUACAAAUGAAAAUAAUUACACUAGUUGGUGAAAUUUAUAAUUAACCCUGAAAGACUUGAUUAACAAUAAGAGCUCAUUAUGGGUGGCUAAUUUAAAUUUAAUAAUUUACGAUUAGAAUCAAUAAUUAUUGCAUUGCUUAUAUGAUUUCAUUAAUCAAAUCGUCUUCAGCCAAGGCUGUAUCCAACACAAGAUUCACUCUCGUGACUCCAGCUAAUUAUGGGAUUAUUGCACUGUUUAUACAUAAUUAUGCAUAGCCAGCCCUCUAACACUUAUAUUAAUACGUCUGCUUAAUUAAUAUGAUUUCUCAAGCCUUUGAUCAAACUGGUUUAAACCCGACCAGCCCGGCUCUCUUCCAAUCCUUCCUCGGAAUAGUACGUCCGGCUGCGUUUAAUUGGUAUGUUAUUUUCAUUUUCAUUUAGUGUGUGUACCUUACGCUAAAAAAUCAUCUAAACAUUCAAGAACGCGUUUAAACCCAAAAAUAAAAUAAAACCUCAUAUAUGUCUCUUUUCCUUGAUCAGAUUGGAAGUUCAAGCAUGGUGAUGAGGAGCCUAAUCAAGUUGUUAGGGACUCUGAAAUCAAACUGAGGUUUUUAAACAAAAUAAAUGCGUAUUCAGAAAUUGAGAAAACUGAGAGCAUGAGGAUGGACAUGAUGCACAGGAAAGCUCAGGCAUCAAUUGUACCGACUCUGAAGAAUGCCGAUUACCGGAGGAAAAAGAGCCACGCACAUAGCCGCUGAUCCGUGAUCGAUUGAAACCAGAAUUUCCCUUUUUAUUUAUUUGAUUUGGAGAGGAGCAAGAUAUACGUUCUGCAGCUAUUUGUUUCAGCGGUUUCUACUGUUUCAAGUCAUCAGUGUUUUAAGUCAUAUGAAAAUAGCUCUGCAGCUAUUUGUUUAAGCAGUUUUAACUGUUUCAAGUCAUCACAGCGCCACUUUGAGGUGUUACAACUUCUUAAUUCAGUUUAUAUUUUGUGACUUUUCUUCUAAAACAAGCGAUAUUGGAAAAAGACUAUUUGUAAUUUAGAAUAUCGGAUGUAAGGAUGAAUGUUUUUAAUUAACUAAACUAUUAAUCUCCUGCUGAAUUUUGAGACGUUUAAUAAAAAGAAGAAAUAUAAUUACUUGGAAAAAGAAAUUAAGUCAAGUCAAUAAGAUUGUGACCGUAUGAAGGAACAAUUAUAUGGAUCCAAAAAUACCAAACCCAAAUUUGGACUGGGACACGCAUGCAUUUGCAUGCACGAAAACUUCUCCAAUUGGUCCUCCUGGUCGGUUUAUAGUAAAAUGGAUCAUCUUCGGAUCUCUUUCUUAUAAUUCAUCAAAUUAGGGAAUUAAUGUCAUUGAAAUUUGAUCUAACGGUUACAAACAGAGCUCUGCUUUAAAAAUUAUAAUAAUUUCAACCGUUGGAUCAAUUUUCAAUGACAUGGAUUCCUAAUAUGGUGGAUUAAGAUGAAAAAAUCAAGAGAUGAUCACUUUCCAGUUUAUAGCUUCUUUCGUACCAAAAUGUUUUGCUUUUGAAUUUCUUUCUACAAUUAUUACAUUUCAAAACUCCUUAAUGUUGUCGUUGAUAUUGUGAAUCACGGGUCCUACGUGCAUUACAGUGAUACAAUAGGCUAAAUCACAAACUCGUACAUAAUACAUUGUCGUUUUAACGUGUUGUCACAUCAUGAUUGCCAUAAUUGAGCACAUAUCCAUUGAUUCUUGUUUAUAUUCUUUAAUUUAGUGGGUAAAAAAAAAAAAUUAACGAAAUUUUUUUGAUACUAUUCAUUUUAAUGAAAAAUCAUAUUUUUAUAUUAAAAAAAAAAGAGUACGUUGAAAAAUAUAUUAGUUAAUACGGUAUUUUUGACAUAUAUGUACUAGAUUUUGUAGUGAGAUAAGGAUUAUAAUUCUUUUCCUUUUUUAUAAGGGGUGUGCUAUCCACACACCCCAUUUUACUUCUCACACAUCCUUUGAUAGUUUCUGUCCGUUGAUCUUCUUCAAUUCAUCUGAUUCGAAGGCCAAAAAUUAAAAAGGUGUGUGAGAAGUAAAAUGGGGUGUGUGAAUAUCACACCACUUUUAUAAUGAGAUUAGGGUUGCUUUCCCAAUUUUCUAAAGUUUAGGAUUAACUAGCGAAAGUGUUCCCGCACGAUGCUGCGGGUUUUAGAACCAUAUAAAACAUGUAAAAAGUUAUAAAUAUAUAUACAUCUAACUCCCAACCAAAAUAUGCACGCAAUAUUAAGAGGGAUGUGAUAUCCACACACAUUUUUUUACUUCUCUCACACCCUUUUAAUUUUCGACCGUCGGAUCGAAUGAAUUGAAGAAGAUUAAAUGACAAAAUUAAUAAGGGGUGUGAGAGAAGUAAAAAGGGGUGUGUGGAUGGCACACCCCUAUUAAGAAAGUUUGAAAUUAAUAUUAUUUGUAUUCUUGUCAAUCUUCUCAUAGUAAACAUUCAUUCUGAACACAUAAAUUAUUAGGAAGCACAACCCAAGAAUGGUCUGGGGAUUUAAGUUUAUUUGUAUUCUUGUCAAUCUUCACAUAGUAAACCUUUAGGACAAAAUAAGCUCUAAUUAUAUAAGUUAGAGUUUCUAUGUGAGUUAGGAAUAUGCUGGUGUGUAGAAGAUGAAGGCAAACCAUAAUCCAAUUAACAUCAAAACAAAGGAAAUUAAUAUUUAAAAAGUGGAACCAACAGAUGAGUAAAAACUUUUGAAUUUGCAAUGUUAUGGCAGGUGAGUGAAAACUUGUCAGCAACUCUACAUGGUUGGAGGGUAGUGAAAACUUGAUCUAAAAUGCUGCUAAGGAUGAGGACUCUUCCAAACUGAAAAAUACGGUGAAUGGUUCGGAGGAAGAGAGAGAUGGACUUUUAGAGAGAGGGAGUGGGCAUUUGAGAAAGACAAGAAGAGAAACCAGAGUGCAUCGAGAAGGAAGAGAGAAAAGGAAGAAAAAUAAAUAAAAAUAUUCAGUAAGGACACAAUCGGGAUUAUCGUAAAAGUAUGAGGGUAAAAUUGGAACAACACUGUGCUUAUGAAUAGCAUUUCAGUUAUUUUUGGGUUUUAGUAGAUAUUAAAUUUCCUAUUUGUUUAGAUUUAUUUUCUUGUUUGCUUGUACUUUAAAUUUUUGAACAGUUUACAAAAAAUGAAAAAUAAUGUGCAGAAAUCAUUUUGGUUCUAAGUACUGAUAAGUGACAUUGGCCUAAAUUUGAUUGCAUGGCUCUGCUUCUUUCUUAUUUUCCCAUGUCCAAUCCUAUAAAUACCUUCAUACUUGGCCCUCAUAAUCCCACCCAACAACUCCAAUCUGGAAAUUUAAAUCUCUCAACUCUCUCAAUUCUCCUAUUACAAAUAUGCAAACCAUGUGGAAGUAUAUACAUCUAACUUUCACCAUCUUCAGCUGGCUGUUCAACUUCUUGCUCUACCAUUCCUUCUCCAAACAUUAUGAUCACUAUUUUGAUGAAACCAGAGACAUAUCACUUACCACAGUCCAGUAUAAACCCAAUCCCGGGGCGAAUUCGGAGACUAGUACGGCGGAAUGUGCUGUGUGUCUAUGCAAAAUCGAGGAAGGAGAAGAGAUUAGAGAACUGAGAUGUGCUCAUCUCCUUCAUAAACCAUGCUUGGACUGGUGGACUGGAUUUAAGCAUGCCACUUGUCCGAUUUGCCGCAGUCGCCUAGCUCCACCGAGAAGCACACAACUCCAUCAGCAGUUAGAUGAACAAGUGGAAGUGUUGGUGUUUAAGUUUUGCUCUUUCAGCUCGGAUAGUGAUCGUGGCGAUAGAUGGUGGCUGCGUUGAACUUGAACCGAAGAGAGAGAUUUAAAUGAGUAAUUAUAUAUGCACGAGUGAUCCCUUGUUAGCAAAGAUCUGUUCAUCUAAAGUCAAACGUUUAAUUUUGUCUUCCAGUUCUACUGUCAAAUUAAUGUAGUACUUCAUCUAUUUUGGCGAAAAAACAUGUAUGCGUGUGGUGUACCAUGUAUUUGUAAACGAGGAUGAACGGUAGAAAGGUCUCUGUACUUUAUGUUAUGUUUAGUUUCCGAUCAUAAACUAUAAGUUUUUUGCGCUUUUCAACUUAAUUUUGCAUUGCAUGAGCAACAAUGAUGGAUCUUGGAUUCAAACUUUGGGGUUCCAUUGUUAAACUACAAGUUUUUCAGGUAGAAACAAAGUGCACAUGGAAAAAUCUUAAUUUAUAUUCACUCAAACAUUUCGUCACUUGGUGAACUUGUUAUCAUCAAUCAAACUAUGUUGUACACGUAUAAACAUAUUUUGAUAUAGGCCAAAUUGGAUUAUUCAUCCCCGUGGUCAUAGGAAACUUGCAUGAUGACCCCCGUGGUGAAAAAAUUAGGAAUUAAACCCCUGUGGUCAAGAAUGUUUGCAAAUUUAGUCCAAAAGUAAGAUUUCUGUUAAAUGACUAUUAAAAGUAUGGGUAAAACUGUAUUUUCAGCUCCAAUUGACAUUUAAAAUAAAUAAUUUUUUUAUAACAAUUAACAAAAAAAAUAAUGCUUAAUUUUUUAAAUAAAAAAAAGCCCCAAUUCAAUGUCAAUUGGAACUGAAAAUACAGUUUUACCCCAACUUUUAACAGUCUUUUAACAGAAAUCUUAUUUUUGGACUAAAUUUGCUAACAUUCUAGACCACAGGGGUUUAAUUCCUAGUUUUUUCACCACAGGGGUCAUCAUGCAAGUGUCCUAUGACCACGGGGAUGAACAAUCCAAUUUGGCCUUUGAUAUAUGCUAUAAACAUUCCAUCAUAUGAACAGGAUUUGACAUCUAUUUUGCUCCAUCCUCUUUUUUCAUAAGGACCCCGUUUCUCUGCCCUCGCAAUUCACAUACACUUUCAUCUCCUCCUAUUUUGUGCGGUCACGGUUAAGCCACCUCAACAUUUUAUAUUGAUUUUUUUAUAGAGAUAAUAAAACAAAAAACAAUAGUGAUAUAAAAUAUUAACGUGGUUUGACCGUGACCUCACAAAUAAAAGAGAAUGAGAGUGUAUGAGAACUGACAGGGCAGAAAAGCCAGGUCUUUUUCAUAAAACUAUGCUUUGAAAAUGUGGACAGGAUUACGCAUGCCACAGGUCCCAUUUGUCAUCUAACUCCACCAAGAAGCACUGAUCAAGUGGAAGUGCUGCUAUUUAAGUUCUGACCAUUCGGGUCGGAUAGUAAUCAAAACAACAUACUCAAAACACUAUACCAUAAAAGUGGACAUAUCAAUCAUGUCAUUGAUAUACCACAUAAAUUGUGUUUUCUAUUCAUACAAAUUCCUAUUUUUAAGAUUAUCUUUUUUUUUUUUAAGAAAAAUUAAUGAAAAUGAUUUAAAUUUUUUGAGUUUUAAUUAAUGAUAAGGACAAAAUAAAAUGUAAAGUGAAUAGUACCAUGAUUGAUUUUUUAGUGUAAAAAUAUGGUUUUUCGUUAAAAUGAAUAAUACCGAAAGCUUUUCGUUAAAGUUCCAUUUUUUUUCUUAAGGAGAAAAAGAUAUUUCCAGAGAGAGAGAGAGAGAGAGAGAGAGAGAGAGAGAGAGAGGUUUGUAGAAGAAAGAAAGAAAAAAAAAUAAUAAUAAAAUAAUAUUGUUUACUAUUAUUAUUUUAAAAAAAAUCAAUUGAUGGCGCAAUAUAUUUUAUGAGGUAGUGAUGCAUUCGAGCAAUUAUUAUUCACUAAGGCAGUAUUUGCCUUGUCUAAUUGUCUAGUCAGUUAUUGCCUUAGUGGGGUGAACUUGCUCCAAGUCAAUAAGAUUGUCAGAAGUUGGGGUUCCACAUAAAACUAAUUUGCCAAAUGGGAGUCAUCCAUUAUUUAUAAACACAUGCAAGGUUCAUUCUUUUUCUGAUAUAGGAUUGACACUCUCAACAAGCCCUUUCACGCAUUGUUCUAAAAAUCUCCGCUUAUGUGCUAGGCGGCUAGCCAUGACAUUGAUAAAUCCCUUGGUGUUUAAAAAUUAAGAAAGGGUGUCUGCACUUGUUUAGGCGUCCACCCAACCCACCUAGGCGUUCGCCUACGCAUGCAUCGAGGUUGCAGACUCUCACUUAAAAUAGAAAAUAGGUAACUUUCAUUUUGUAUUUUAUUUUUUUAAUAAAUUGUAAGAAACUUGUUAAAUACUCGGAUAAACACUCAUUAUAUGCAUGUCCUCCAUUUUCCCUAUAUGUGUUAUAAUACUUCAUAAUUUUUAUGUCAUUCUAUUUUUCAAUUUAUAUAUUCUAAUACAAUUAGGUAUUUUUCUUAAAACAUAAACAAGCAUUACUUAUACGAUACAUAUAAUAAAUUUAACUUAAAUUCGCCUCGUCCUUUUAGGCCCCGUCUAGCCGCUUAGGCUUUAGACUUUAGUCCGUCGUCCGACUAACGCUUAUGAUCUUUUAGAACUUUGCCCUCAUAUGUGGUGAAUUUUCAAAUUUAACAUGUAGACAAUACAACGAAAUAACGUGAAGCGCGUGUGAUCGUUUAACUUCACAUGUAAAACAAUCUAGUCUGAUACCACGAAGAAGUUUGAAUUCCAACCGACUAUAUAAGAAAUAGUCAAUUAAUUAUAGCCACAUACAAAUCCCUCUUUUCGAACCAUAAGAUUGGAUGAAGAAUUUAAAGGACUGGGACAUGCAAGACUUGUCCUAUUGGGUCAACCCGGCGGUUUAUACCAAAAUAUCUUGGUUUUGAAUUUCUCUUUAAGAUUAAAUUAUAAACAACACUUGGCUAAAGGAUGAGUAAAAUCUCUUAAUUAAAACUCUUAGGGCUUUAAUUAUAAAGUUUUAUGUUUAUGAUCAAAACCGUUCAUACUAUGAAUCACACUGUAAAAAUCAUCUAUGCAAAAAAUAUAUUAAAAUUAAGGUCGUUUAGUCAAUCUAUUAUAGCAAAUACAUAAACGGUUCGUAAUACUUUUACCAAUACCGUUCAUUUGUUUUUAAACAGUUUGAUGACUAAACGACCUUAGUUUUAAAUAACUUUUUUGCAUAGGCGAUAUUUAUUGGAUAAUUUAUAUUAUGAACGAUUCUAAUGAAAAACAUAAAGUUAUAUAAAUUAACAACAAACAAUUUUAAGAAAUUUUAGGUAUGAAUUCUUACUUAUCUUUAACUUUAAGUAGGCAAAUAUUGUUUUUAAAUUAUUACAUUCCAAAACUCCUUAAUUUAGUCGUUUAUUUUGUGAAUCACGCGUCCUAUAUAUCUGCAUUACAGUGACCCAAUAGACUGAACCACCGGACACGUAUGUUGUCGAUUUAGUGUGUUGUCACAUCAUAGAUUGCCAUAAUUGAGUAUCCUGUGUUAGUUGACCACAUAAAUAUUAUGAUACUGUUCAGUAUAUUCAAGGAGGGAAAUAUUUUUGGCCUAAGAUUAUCUCUCAUCUUCUUUCCAUUAUUUCUUCUUAUAUUUUUUAUUUUGUCUUUUUUUUUUAUAAAAAAUUAAUAUAAGAUGGGGAUGUGGUUUAAUCAUGACCGUUCAAAUAGGAAGAUCGGGAAAUGAUAGAAAUGAAGAAACUAGAGAAUCAUACUCCAAUAUUUUUUGCACACUUAUUUUUUUUUUAAAUUACUGAAUAUAUGACCAUUGAUUCUGAUUUAUAGUCUUCAAUCUAAUGGGUAAAAAAUGAGUUUAUGUUGAAAAAUAUAUUAGUUAAUAUGGUAUUUUUGACAUAUAUACGUGCUAAAAUUUUGUUAUAAUUAAUUUCCUAUUUGUCUUGAAGAACCCAGAUCCUUUCCGGAUCCUCAAAAACUGAGACUAAGGAUCAACUGAUUUGGACUAUUGAAAUUUGAUCUAACGGCUACAAAUAGGGAGCCUUUGUAAAAGUUAUAAUAAUUGUAGUCGUUAGAUCAAAUUUCAACUGUCCGAAUUAUUUGAUCUUUAGACUCAGGUUUUGGACAUCCAAGGAGGAUCUGGGUUCUGUUUUGAAUAUAUUUACCUUUUUGCUUGUACUUUAAAAUUUUUAGCAGUUUAGAAAAAGUGAAAAAUAGUGUGCAGAACUUAUUUUCGUUCUCACCAUUUACAAUUGACAUUAGCCGAAAUUUGAUUGCAUGGCUCUGCUUUCCUCUAUUAUUUUCCCAUGUCCAAUCCUAUAAAUAGUAAUACCUUCAUACUUGGCCCUCAUAAUCCCACCCAACAACUCCUAUUUGGAAAUUUAAAUCUCUCAACUCUAUCAAUUCGCCUUUUACAAUUAUUCGAACCAUGUACAAGUACAUACAUCUAGCUUUCACCCACCUCAGCUGGCUACUCAACUUCGUGGUCUACCAUUCCUUCUCUAAACAUUAUGAUCACUAUUUUGACGAAUUAUUGCCUGCAGACCAAGCCACAGAAAUAUCACUUACCACAGUCCAGUACAAACCCAAUCCCGGGCCGAAUUCGGAGACUAGUACUGCGGAAUGCGCUGUGUGUCUCUGCAAAAUUGAGGAAGGAGAAGAGAUUAGAGAACUGAGGUGUGCUCAUCUCUUUCAUAAACCAUGCUUGGACAAAUGGACUGGAUUUAAGCAUGCCACUUGUCCGAUUUGCCGCAGUCGUCUAGCUCCACCAAGAAGCAAACAACUCCAUCAGCAGUUUGAUGAACAAGUGGAAGUGCUGCUGUUUAAGUUUUGUUCUUUCAGCUCGGACAGUGAUCGUGGCGAUAGAUGGUGGCUGCGUUGAACUUGAACCAAAGACAGAGAAGCAGCAGAGAGUCAUGCCAGAUUUAAACGAAUUAAUAUCGUACUCGUUUGGCGGAAGAUGUAUUAUUAUCUUUAGUCAAAUAAAAAAAAUAAGGAAUAAUAGAUUUAUGUUUUCUUUUAUGCCAGACCUCCAAAACUCACCAGAACUACACAGCAGCAAACAAAUGAAACGAAAAAAAUAAUUCUGGACACCAGCCGUGUGCAUACAUCUAAUUGCCGCCCACUUAAGCUUAGGGGUGGGUUCAAAAAAUCAAACCGGAGCCGAAAAAUACUGAACCGAAAAAAAAAAUCGAACCGAAACAGCCAAACCAAAUCGAACCGAAUUUGGCCAGUUCGGUUUCGGUUUUUGAGGUUUGGAAACCGAACUGGACCGAAAAAAUAUAAUCUAUAUAUAAAUACACAAAAACGUGUUGGCAUCAGAGUUUGA
rnacentral:lncRNA from 1 species